rnacentral:lncRNA from 1 species
UUUUUUUUUUUUUUUUUUUUUCUUCUCAUAGAACGGUUUGUUAAGAAAUGUUUUGGUAUCUUUUGAACCCGCAUGCACUUUAAAACGAGAACCAUUAAGAACACUCUUUUAGGGUGUAAAUCAUCCUCCUCCCAAGGGUUUCUAACCAGUCUCAUCUCAUACUUUUUGACAACUUUAGGCAAAACACAAAAAAUAGGCCUUUUAUUUAUACCAUACCAAAAAAAAUAAUUGGGAGUUUCACCCAUUCCCAAAGCUUUCUCUACUACUAGACCACAAAUAUUGGGCUUAAGCCAAUCUUUUAGUGGCAUAUUAGCGUCAUUGGUUUGAUGGGCCGGUUCUAUGAGUAUUUGGUUUUGAUCCCACAUUGGCAUCGGGUAACUCAAUGGGUAAAGCCUACGUACCACUUGAGCCUUUACUGAUUAGAAGUGUUGAUCCCAUUACUGGUCGUAAAUGGUCUCUAAGGUUCAGUGAUCAUAUGCUUCUAACAACCUAUUCGGUCCUUGAUUUUGAUUUGGGUCAAGUAAGUACUCCUCCAACUCUUAGGAGUAUUAGGGGUACCUACCUUUGAGAGGACUUGACUCUCAAUAUGACUAUAUCCUAACAAAAUUAUUUAAAUCCAUAUACAUGAGGAUUUUGAAUUGGAAGUAAUAUAUCACUGCUCGCAUGUGAUAGAUAGGAAAUGAUAAGAUCAAAACAAGAGAAAUUAGACUAUAUGACCAUAAAAAAAUUUAAUAAUUCAGUAACUAACCUAAAAAAAGGUUGACUACAAUAUUCUAUGUAUAACAUGUAAUAUAUACUAAUUUACCCUUUGUUCACAUGUCACAUUUUUUCUACGUAUUUUUGUCUUUUUCUUCUUUCUCUCUUGAUCAUCAAUUUCUUUUUUCUUUUGUCAUAUCAAGUGUAACCAUUAUCUAUCAUUAGUAGUACAUCAUUAUCAUCACCACCACCACCAUCACAUCAUCAACACCACCACCGCCGUAACUGCUACGACCAACACAAUCACCAUCAUCAUGCCCUCACCAUCACCAUUACAACUACUACCACCAUCCCCAUGUCAUCACCACCACGGUUAUCGCAAUAAUCGUCAUCAUGGUAACCACCAUCACCACUAUCACACAUUCACCAUCACCAUAUUACCACCCAUAGUUACUACCGCGCCGUCGCAACCGUGCCAUCACCACCAUCACAACGCCAUUAAAGCCAACGUCGUAACCACCACUAUCAUCACGUCGCCACCACUAAAACCUCCACGCCUAUACUAUUUAUUGCCGAUAUCAUCAUCGCAGCCGCGUUCUACACUAUUGUAGUUUGUUCUAUACUAUUUUGUUUAAGUUUUAUGUAAAGAAUUUUUUUUUUUUUUUUAAUUUUUAUAAGUUUAUGUCUGUUUUUUAAAAUUUUAAAUCAUGAUACAUGAAAAAAGCUUUUUUUUAUUAUUUUCAAAGAAUUAGAAAUUUGAAUUAAAUAUUUAGAGCAUAAAAUAUGUAAUAAAAGAUCUAAGGGGUAAAAUAAAAAAAAAUAAAAAACAGAUAAAUUCUCACAUAUGCCAUGUAACUUUUCUUCCUCUCUUCGACAAACACAAAUAAAGGCCAAAAUAGACAUUUUACCCUUCAUUGUGUUACUUGCUUUAUUUCUAACAAUAUAGUGCUAUAUGCUUAAAUAACUUAUCAAAAUAGGUUAUUCACCUAAUUCACCCUCAAAACAAUUGUCUCGGAUCUCUUGGAAAGAAAAAAAAAACACGCAAAUAACGGUUCACUGCACAAACAUUAUUUUAAGUUUAAUAUUUCUACUAUAUUUUAUUUCAAUGUAAUUUGUAUUUUGAAAAAAAUAGAAUUUGAAAUUUAUUUUCUAGUUAUAUUUAUUAUAUAUAUAUAUAUAUAUAUUGUUUUAUAUUAUAAAUACUUUAUUUUUUUUUGUAAACAUAUUAUAAAUACUUUAAUAACAUCUUUUAGGCUCUGAAAGAAGUUUUGGCCUUUUGGGUGCUAGACAUUAGAUUCCUACUACCUUAACUCAUCACAUUUUUUUUUAACACUAGUACAAACUAAUAUUUAAUUUUUUAUUUCUCUUUUUUACAUUUUUGGAUAUAUCAAUUUAUAAAAAUUUGUAAGAUACUUAUAUAUCAAUCAAAGUUCAAUAUAGAACUAGAAAUUAUUUUUAUUAUCAUAUAUACAAACGAAGUAAUCUUUAUUCGCAUCCUCAUUAUAAUUCCCGUAACUAGAAUACAAUAAACUAUAACACAAAAAAAAAAAAGAUUAAAAACAUUAACAAAAAAAACUAUAAAACAAGAUAAAGUAACAAGAGAUUGUCUACGCAAAUGUGCAGAUUAAAAACCUCAUAUUGAACAAAGUAUAAAUAGAAUUAACAAAAAUAAGAGUAAUUUAAACGUAAUUAAAUAGUAAUUAACCGUGGAUGCUGUUACAACAAAGAUAUGUUGAUAGUUAGAGAUGAUAAGAGAAGGAUGAGCAGGCGAUGCAAGCUAGGAGGAAGAUGGCUGAGGAAGCUCCAUCGUUGUCGAGCUUACUAGUGCUUCGCUUGAAUCUGCAACCUUUUUCUUUGUUGCAAUUAGUGAUUGAUUGUAUCUUCUUCUUCUGAUAACGAUCAUCUUCUUUGCAUCUCUUGAUCAUCUCUCUUUGCUUCAUUGCUUCUUCUGCUCUGCACACCAUUCUCUUUUUGGUGCAAAGAGCUCAGAGAAUUUAGUGUAGGACAAGAGUAUCACAAUUCCUAUCUCCAUAUAUAUAGAGCCAAGUUUCUUUUUUUUAUAUAUAAAGAAUAAUUUAUAAUUUGGACUAGUUUGAAUUGGCAUUUUAAUAAUUUUAGCUUGGAACUAUGUUUUAAACAAACCAAACCGUAUUUUGACACGUGUAAAUGAUGCAUUUUCACAAAAAAAUUGUUUUCCUUUUUUUUUUUUUUUUAAUCAAAUACAGUAUGAAUUUAUAUUGAUUCCUCCCUAACAAAAAAAAUGUUAGAAAAAUUUUACAUUAUCAGAUGUAUUUUAAAAUUUACAUAAAACUUCCAAUUCUUUUGCAAGAUCUAUGGUGGCCUAAAGUUUUGAAUGAUCCCACGGUUCAAGUUCAAGAUUCAGGACACCAGAUUUUUUUUUAAAAGCUUCCAAAGAGUUUGUAGCUACACUAGACAGUAUUUGUUUUACUGGACACAUAGACCCCAAACUGUCUUCUAUAUGAGAUUCAAUGCAUCUCUUUCUUAUUUUAAAAUCAAUAAAUGAGUAUACUCAAAUUGUCAAGAUAAAAGUACUAGAGAAUGUUUCUUUUUGAUUGGGUUUCAAAACCCAAAUUAACACCAAAAGAUUUAUUAUUUCUAGUUUUCUUCUUGUUUAUGCCUAAAAACUAUAGAGCUCCUGGUUAUCUUAUCUAUUUCUACUCUAAAAAUAUGUGUUUUAUCUACAUAUUAAGUUUUUAGGUAGUGGUAACUAAUAAAUUUGUGUAUGUAAAUGAGGAUACGUACACAAGUAAAAAGCAAGUUAGUUAGCAAUGAUAAUGGACAAUGUUAUGGAGUUGCGACCGUUGUUCAAACAACAGCGCAUUUGGUUCUCUAAAUAGGAAUCCAAAUUGGAUUAUCCAAUCAUUUGGGAAGUGAAUAUAGUAUAGUAUUACAUUCGUAACAUGCAUUAAACCCACAAAUAAUUUAAUAAGCAAAGCCUAGUACCAAUGAUUUACAUAAUGCUGUUGAAGAAGUUUCUGUAGAUAAACAUAUAGCACUACACUAACUAAUACUACUGUAGUUUAAUAGAUAGGUGGAAUAUUUUUUGUCAUUGUUAUAACAAAAUGUGGAAUUAUUGAAAACGUAAUGAAGAAAAAUGAAAAUGGUUUUUGGCGGGGAGCGAAAGAAUGGCAUGUGGAGAAGACAAUGUCACAUGCGACAUGUGAAAACGUUAUGAUGUUUGGUCUGAAACGGCGCCAUUAUGUGAUUGAUACAUUGCAUUUCCCUCUCACAUUAACUCAUCAACCCAUUCCAUUCUUUGUUUCAUAUUUAAAAUGUAAAUAUCAAUAAUCCUGAUGAAUCAUAAACUUGUCGAUCAUAUUAAAUGCUCCUCCACAUUGUAUGGUGGCCAAAAAAUACAAACCAAGAUAUAUAAAUUGAAUUAAACCGAAAUUGUAAAUCAAUUGGUUUUAUUAAAUAAAAACAUACUAAAACUGAAUUUAGUGUAACAGAACAAAGUUUAGUUUUUUUUUAAAAAAAAAAUUAGUUAUAUAUUUUGUAACACAUGUAACUAACUAUACCGCUGGUCGAUUUUUUAACUAAAAAAUUAAAUUUUAAAUUGUAUUUUUUAAUAUUGUUUAUUUUGUUAAGUGUUUAAGAUUGUAUAAUUGUAUUUUGAUUGUUAAUUUUAAGAUUUCAUCCGUGAUAUUAAUACCGUCCCAUAUUAAUAUCGAUCCAAACCCGUCCCACUAUAUAACCCCGUCCCGUGAAAUUAAACAUCAUUUUGUUAUUUUUAAUAAUAUUUUAUUUAAUAGACAUAUAAUUCGAGUCAAUUUAAAAGUUUGAUUUUAAAUAUAUUUUUAAAUUUUAGUUAAUAAUAAUUAAUUCUAUAUAAUGAUUUAUGAAUUAAUUGCGUAUGACCGACGGUCAAGAUUGAAGAUUAAAAACCGGAUUAAGAUUUGAAUGACCACGAUUAAAUGUAGGGAUUGUUGAGAUCUUUUAAGGAAAUCGAAUUGAAUAUAGAUGUAAUUGUGGCAAAGAUUAGUUAUGCUCAGUGUUCUAAAAAGCGGUCUAGGCGGUCGCUUAGGCCCCGACUAGGCGCUAGGCUCUCAUGCGACGCCUAGAUAACCGCCUUGACCGCCUAAAAUUACAUAAAUCUUAUUUAAUGUAUUUUUUCAAUUUUAAUUAGAGUUUUAUUUAUAUAUAUAUAGUUAUAAAUAUUCAUAUAUUGUUUAAUAUAAAUAUAAAUAAAUGUUUUAUCUAGUUUUUGUUUAUAAUUUCAUAAUUUUAUGAUUUAUAUAACUUUUAUAUAUAAUAUUAUAUUUAUAAUAUUUAUGUUAUAAACGUCUAAACCGCCUAAAAAUCGUCUAAGCCCCGAUUAGGCGUUCUAGGCGCUAGGCACUGGGUCACCGCCCGCUUAGCGCCUAACGCUUUCUUGAACACUGGUUAUGCUUAAUAUAUUAGAUUAAGAUUUUUGGAAAUGAUUUUUAAGUUAAUAUCUUUGAUUUAAUUUUGAAAAUUUAAAUAAUUAAUGUUAAUGACAUUUGAUCAUAAAUAAGUCGAAACUGCAGGAUUUAUUUCAUAAAUGUCUCCAAAAAUAUAUAUAUAGAUUAAAUAUAUUUGACCGAAGUUAAAUCAAACAAACCGAGUUACAUAUGGUCUGAGCUGGUUUUAGUCUCCAUAAAACUGAUAAAACUAAGACCAGAAAGAAAAAAAUCAAACCGAACUAAACCGUAAAUUGAAUGUCCUAUGCAAAAAGAAGAUACAGAGACAAAAAUAAUGUUGACCAAAUGCUUAAUCUUUAGUCUCCUCUAAACACAAAGUGCUUAAUCUCAUUAUCCCCUAAACACAGCAUUAAUUAACUCUUUCAGAUUCUUGCAUCCGAUUAUCUCAAUCUCUUUCAAAUUCAGCGCCUUUAGUGAGUCCUCCACUGAUUUGGGAACCACACAUUUGUUAAACCCUAGCUUUGCCAAUGUACUUACCCUUUUCUCCAUUCUUGGUACCUGUACCAUUAAACCUUCAAUCAUAUUCAUCCAAAUUCUAAAUAACAAUUAGCUGAUUCUUUUAUUGCUUACCGUGCGAACCUCGCCCCCAAGACCAAUCUCACCAAUGAAUGCUACACCGUGAGGAAUUGGAAACUCCAAGAAACUGGAAUAAAAGAAUAGUGAUUCAUUGGCAGCUAGGAACUAAAUAACGCAAAUCUUGCAGAUUUUACAAGAAAGUAUUUAAGAGCACAAAGAAGUUAAUAAAAUACUCACCUGCUACAAAUUGCUGCUGCUAUUGCAAGGUCGCCAGCAGUCUCAGAAAGAGCCAUUCCGUUAGCGACGUUCAGAAAAAUCCCCUGAAGAAAAAUAUUAUUAUUAUUAGCAGGACUGUGAUCACUACGACACUAAGUGAGCAUUCACAUAGAUAAUGAAGAUUGGUGUAUAAUUUGCUUCCUAUCAUUUAUUAUAUAGCGCAACUAUGUUAUUAGAGGUUCAAGAAUCACAUGUUGAGCAACAUUGCAGAGUGACACAAAAUUAUCAAAUCUCUAAACUUACAUUUUCCUGUAUUCUAAGACCAGCUUGCUUCAUAAGAACCUGUGAUUUGAUAAGGCAGAACCAAAACAAAACGAUAGCAGUUAUCAAAAAGAAAAAGUAGAAGAGAGGCAUGUAUCAAACGGAAUUUGUUACUGUACAAUAAGAACAGACAUAGCUAGUAGUAGCACUCACUGCAAUUAUCAUAUCAGCUCUGCUUGCUUGAACACCAUUGACAUGCCUUGAAACUGUUGGGCCAGGCGAACACAACGCCUACAUUAUAACAAAAACCAAUGUUUAAACAAGAACUACAAUACUUUGCUUCAAGGUCCACAAGCACAAAUGAGGCAGCUAAUGAUGAGAGGUCAGCAUUGUCCCCUAUUCAGAACAUACAUAUUACAACAAUGUAAGUCAUGAUUCUCAUCAUAUUGAAUGACAAUAGCAAAAUGUAUAAAGACUAUCAAAACACAGUUUCACUUAUCGAGCCAGGGCCCUUUUACAAUUUGUUGGAAUUCUGAAGCAGAAUAAGAGAAUGAAGCAGAAUUAUCUGGUUAUCUACCUGAACUUCAAUUAGGAAACUCCGAGAUCCAUCCAUAACAACUGCGACAGCUAAUCCAGCUAAAACAUCUGAAUCUGGGUUCUGUUGACUAAGAUAUAUGCCACUAGGGUUUGAGACUACUUCAAGUCCUGAGUUUGCCAUUUCAAAAACUCCAAGCUGACAAAGGAGAUAGCCACGAUUUAUUCGAUAAUUCUCAACUCGAAAUAAUAAUAAGUGUACAGAUAACAAGCAAACUCGAACCAAAUAAGGAAUAAAGGUAACACAAUCCACAGAAUAAGCUGCUUGAACUAGCAAGUUCUUGAGAAAAAGGGAAACGAGGCAGCAAGGGAAAAUAAUAAUCAUGAUUUAAUCUGAAAAGGCAUAUUAUCAAGGAUUUGUAUACAUACUUCAUCAGUCGACCCAAAUCGAUUCUUCACAGAUCGAAGCAAUCGGUACGCUGAUGAUUCUUCACCCUGAAAUGACGGAAAAUACAUGUCAACUAAUCAUCUUCUGUUAUAUCUCCUAACAAAUUAAGCUCAUAUACUUUUAGUCUAGAAAAGAGGUUAUAAAGCUAAUAAAAACAAAUCCAAAGUAUUUAGUUAGAACUACAUAGCGCCAUUUAUUGAAGGAGAUAUCAUGAUUGCAUAUCUAAAGACAACAGAAAAUACAAAGCACCUCCAAGUACAAGACAACAUCUACUAUGUGCUCCAAAACACGAGGUCCUGCAAUAUCACCCGCUUUCGUAACAUGUCCAACCUAAAACAGAAAGUGACGUGCAUAAAAGAUCUGAUCCCAAUCACACACCAGAUAUUGAAGGAAAGAACUGGAAGGAUGGUGCUUACUCACCAAGAAAACAGGGAUAUUAGAUUUCUUAGCAAAACGCAACAGGGUUGAUGUGCAUUCUUUAACCUGCCACCAUAAGAGAUUUCCAAGAAAAUAGCCUUUUCAGCAGACAAAAAAAAAAGUUACGGGAAAAGCAUAUGCGAAGAAAAAGAGAAUGCUGGAACCUGGUCUUCAUCUAACACAUAAAAGUCUCCUUUUAAACAUAAAUUAAAAAAAUAUGUGUGAUUCCAUCUAAAAAGGGAAGCAACAAAAAGCAGUAUGGCAUAACUUCUUUCUCAUAGUAUUUAGAAAAAAAUUUUAGUGAGAGACUAAGCGAAUAGAGGAGGAUAACUUUUAAACCUGUGUGAGACCACCAGCACUUCCAGUCACAUCUUUUAGGUAAACAGUUUGAAUUGAGUCAAUGAUGAGAGCUCGAGGAGAUAGCCGAUGAGCUUUGUUUAGAAUGUCCUGAAAUAUAUCAAAACAAACGAUUUGCUUCAGGUAAUCAAAGCAAACGAUUUGAGAUUAACAAUUUUUUAAAGUUAUGAUACGCAAAGGCGUGGAAUUUCACAAAGAGUAGAGUUGGUGUCUGACACAUAAACAUGAGGAGAAUUAACAGUUGGGCAAAAAAUAGGAAUAUACAGCUGAGAAUUGCUUAGCUGUUUAAUAAAAUAUGACUUCGGUUUGUUUAAGGUAACAAGAAUAUUAAUUCACAUAAAAAAGUAUACCUGGAGAUCAGAGCUCGAAAACAGGUAGAGCUCUUCAGUUUGAAUUCUCAUCCUGUCAGCCCGACUUCCUAUUUGCUCAACACUCUGCAGUGGGCAAGAAAACAGAAGAUCUUAUGAAGAAUGUGUAAUCAAGUCAAGAGAAUGCAGGGGAUUGAGAUCCUUCAGAACAAACUAAAAGUACCAUAUCUCUACCAUUAAAUAGAAAACGCGAGAAGAAAAACAGCCAACAGUUUGUUUGCAGCUAAAGUGCAGAUGCUCAAAAUAAAGCUGCUAGUACCCGAGCUACGAUUACUUUGCUGCGUCUUAAACAUGUGCAUGUAAGCUCAUUCAGACCAUCUUAAGAAGCAUAUUUUGAAAAAGAAACAGCCACAGAGCAAUUACACAAUCCACGAUUUUGAUCAGAAACCCGGUGUGAAGAAGACAAGGAAAGACAGGUAGCAGAAACUUUGAGAAAAACAGAACAUGACUAGUACUAACCUCUUCACCAGAGAUAUACAAAACCGGUGCUGGUUCAGCCAAUUCACUCCCCUCAGCAAUUAUAGCUGCAAUCUUCCAUUUGAGAAAAUAAGAUGAGAAUCAGGGAGCCGUUAUGUGCACAAAUCAUGUUGCAGUAUUAGAAAUUAACAAACAUUUUCAUAGUGAAGACAAAUCACUCAAAAACCAUAGUCAUAUCUCCUAACCUGCAAUAACAAAGUACUCUUGCCAAUACCAGGGUCACCACCAAUCAAAAUCAGCGAACCUACAAAAAAACAACACCAUUGUAAGUCAACUGCCAAAGACAGAAUAAUCAAAAUCAUGAAGACAGCAUAAAACCUGGAGCAAGACCACCACCAAGCACUCUCGCAACCUCAUUCCCAAAAAGUCCAGGCCUAUAACAUAAAAAUUCAAUCAUCUAAACAAAAACAACAAAUAUUCAAAUCAUUAAACAUCACAAGAAAUGAUAUCUCAUACAGUGAAAUUCUCCAUUGUUGUUGAGUAAUUCCAUGAAUAACAUCAGUCAAUCGAUGCGGCUGAACCGUUGCUUGCUCAGGUAACCAAGACAAACCCUUACUCUCCGAAAAACCCGAGCCAGUACUAUUGCUACCACCACCACCACUAGCACUUGACUCAGAACCUUCUGAAAAACGUUUCAUAGUCCCAACCUUAUGACAAGUACGACAACUCCCCCACCAUUGUCCUUCUGAAUGACCACAACUCUCACAAACCCAAACAGUUUUCGAUUUUCCUUUCUUUGAUUUGUUCAUAACUACUUCACCUGGAUUCCAUCCCCGAGGAUUCGAAGCGGAUUUUCUCGAUUUCUCAUCGGAGAAUCCAAUUUUGGUGUCUUUGUUGUCGUCUAUGUUCGAACUCGCGUCCUGAUUGGAGGAAUGAAGGUCGAAAACGGAGGUGACGGGAGAUGAUGAGAAGCGACGGAGACGGAACCGGACCGGGGAUAUAGGAAAAGUGACCGGAGUUGAAGAUCGGAGGAGGAAAAGAGAGUGGGCUCGAGUGUAGAAGCAUCUGAAGCAUCUCAUGUCUGCGAUCAACAUCAACAAAAACUCAAAAAAUCCUUGUGCAAAAUCUUUUUAGUGCUUGAUUAGGGUUUCGAGCUCUGAGCUUCGAAACCCGCCAAUUUCACAAACACGACUUUGCCGCUCAGUCUUCUUCUGCGACUUCACAAGAAGUUCAAUUUUUUUUUUUUUUUUUGGUUCACAAAAGUUUGGAUUUUGUAUAUUUCAAAACGGGAAAAAUGUCGAAAAAUUCGCCAACUUUCAAAUUUGGGACGAUUAAAGCAUGAACUCCCGAGACGUCUCUUUAAUCACAAAGUUUCUGUUGACCAGUUUACAAAUGACAAAGUUUGAGUUGAUCUGGCCAAAUAAGGCACCGCGUUAAGUCUCCGUUAGAACCAAGAUGACGCUGUUAACAGGCCGCCGUCUACGGUCUCCGUUUAACCAAAACGACGACGUUUUUGUUUACUCGGAGAAUGAAAGUCAAAAGCCCCAAAUCGAAAACCCCCAAAUCGAUUUCAUUCAAUCCUUAACCCUAGAAAAAUUGAAAAUCAAAUUCUCUCUCGUGCUCUUGCCUAUUGAUUCCGAUGGCGAAGACUCGUGGAGGUAAUUGGAAUCCUCGUCGGUCGCGAAGGCUGCUGGCUACGGUAGAUGAAGAAGGUAGAGCAAACGAUCAAGAACCCGAGACGAUCGAGAUCCCAGAAGAAUCAGAGACAAUUCCAGACCCGUCGGAGAGUGAGGCUGCGUCUAAACCGUCGGAGAAGGAGACGGUUCCCCAACCUCAACAGAAACAAAAACAAAAGCUUGGAGAAAAUUUGAGCCCUCGUCGGUCGCGGAGGCUGCUGGCAAUGGUAGAGGAAGAAGGUAGAGUAAACGAUCCAGAAGCUGAAAGGAUUGAGAUCCCAGAAGAGAGGGAUAUAAUUCGAGACCCGUCGGAGAGUGAGGCUGCGUCUAAACCGUCGGAGAAGAGCACAGCUGAAGUCGCGAAGGAGACGGUUCCCCAACCUCAACAGAAACUAAAACAAAAGCGUGGAGAAAAUUUGAGCCCUCGUCGGUCGCGGAGGCUGCUGGCAAUGGUAGAGGAAGAAGGUAGAGUAAACGAUCCAGAAGGUGAAAGGAUUGAGAUCCCAGAAGAGAGGGAUAUAAUUCGAGACCCGUCAGAGAAGAGCCCAGCAGAAGCAGACAAUGAGACGGUGUUGAUAUCGCCGGUGUUGAUACCAUCGGAGAAGAGCACAGUAGAAGCAGUCAAUGAGACGGUGUCGAUACCGCCGGUGUUGAUACCAUCGGAGAAGAGCACAGCAGAAGCAGUCAAUGAGACGGUUCCUCAACAGAAGCAGAAAGGGAAGAAAGGGAAAAAAAGAAGAAGGAAGUACUGUGAGGAUAUAGAAGAAGAUCGCGAUGGUGUGAGUGGGGAUGAUUGUGAGGUUAUCGGCGAUGAAGACUGUGAGGAGGUAGGGUAUGCAGAUGAGGUAGAAGGUCCUGAAGUUGUUGUAGCUGUUGGUGAACACGAAGGUAAUGGGGACGAAAAUGGCGAUGAAGCUGCAGACAAUGGCAGUGGAGGUGCAGAGGAAGACAAUGGCGAAGUAGGUAUAGAGGAAGAACAUUGUGACGAUUUCGAAGCUGAGUUUGGAGUAGGUGCGAGAGAAGAUGACCAUCAUAGUGAUACUAAUGCAGACAGUGGAGAUGAAAUCUGGGACGAUGAGAGGAUUCCAGCUCCUUUGUCACACAGUGAUGAUGAAGAAUAUCAUGAAGACGAAGCUGCUGCAGAUGAUGCUGAAGAUCUGGAAGUGAUGCUGAGAUUAAACAAAACUUUCAAUGGCCCAGAAGAAUUCAAGAUAGCCGUUUUAAGGUACUCUCUUAAAACCAGAUACGACAUCAAGUUUUAUAGGUCACAAUGUCUGAGAAUUAGUGCAAAGUGUUCUUCUACCUGAUGUGAAAUGUCCAUGGAGAUGCUAUUGCUCCUAUGACAAGAAGAAACAUAAGAUGGUUGUGAAUAUAUACGAUGAUGAGCAUGCUUGUGUGAGGUCAGGUUACUCCAAGAUGUUGAAGCAAGGGGCAAUUGCUUGGUUGUAUAGAGAUAGGUUGAGGAAGAAUCCAAAAAUUACAAAGCAAGAGAUGGUUGCUGAGAUCCUGAGAGAGUAUAACCUCACAGUUACUGAAGAUCAAUGUUCCAAGGCAAAGACCAAGGUUCUGAGAGAAAUGAAAGUAACACAUGAAGAGCAUUUUGAAAGGAUUUGGGACUAUCAGGCAGAGAUCUUCCGCUCAAAUCCAGAGACAAAAUUUGAGAUUGAGACAACUCCUGGUACAACCAUAGGCAGCUUACAAAGGUUUUUUCGAUGCUUUAUCUGUUUUAAAGCACAAAGAGACUCUUGGAAGAACACUUGUAGGCCUAUCAUAGGAAUAGAUGGUGCAUUCCUUAAAUGGGAUGUAAAGGGACAUUUCUUAGCAGCUACAGGGAGAGAUGGAGAUAAUAGAAUUGUUCCCAUUGCAUGGGCUGUUGUUGAGAUUGAGAAUGAUGAUAACUGGGACUGGUUUCUCAAGAUGCUUUCUUCAAGUUUGGAUCUUCAAGAUGGAAGAAAUGUAACCAUCAUAUCAGACAAACAAUCAGUAAGUCUCUGUUACUAGUAUAAUUCUCUUAAUUCAUAUAAAUGUCUGACAUUGAGAGGUGUAUCAUGUAUUUGCAGGGUUUAGUUAAAGCUAUUCAGACUGUCAUCCCACAAGCUGAGCAUAGGCAAUAUGCUAGGCACAUCAUGGAUAACUGGAAGAGGAGUAGUCAUGACAUGGAUUUACAGCGACUCUUCUGGAAGAUUGCUAGGAGUUACACAGAAGGAGAAUUCACUAGUCAUAUGCUGGAGCUGAAGAUUUACAAUCCAAGUGCCUAUGAAUCUUUGUUGAAAACUAAUCCAAGGACAUGGUCUAGAGCUUUCUUCAGGAUAGGAAGCUGCUGCAAUGACAACCUCAACAAUCUGAGUGAGACUUUCAACAAAACAAUUAGACAAGCAAGGAGGAAGCCUCUUCUAGAUAUGUUGGAAGAUAUAAGGAGGCAAUGUAUGGUGCGGAAUGAGAAGAGGUUUGUACUAGCUGGAAGAUUGAAGACUCGAUUCACAAAGAGAGCACAUGCUGAGAUAGAGAAGAUGAUUGUUGGGUCACAGUCCUGUGAGAGAUGGCUGGCCAGACACAACAAACAUCAGAUUAAGUGUGGUGAUAUGAAGGUCAUUGUGGACAUGAAUAACAACACUUGUGGUUGCAGGAAGUGGCAGAUGACUGGAAUACCAUGUAUUCAUGCUGCAUUAGUCAUCAUAGGGAAAAAACAGAAAGUGGAAGAUUAUGUUGUUGAGUGGUACACAGCUAGAAUGUGGGAGCUGACAUACUAUGAUGGCAUUGGACCUGUACAGGGGAAGCUUUUAUGGCCAAGAGUAAACAGAUUGGGAGUGCUGCCACCUCCAUGGAGAAGAGCUAAUCCAGGGAGACCAAACAAUCAUGCUAGGAGGAAAUCAAUGUUUGAAACAGCCUCUAGCUCCAAUACUCAGUUGUCAAGAGAGCACCGAGUCAUGACAUGUUCUAAUUGCCAGCAAGAAGGGCAUAAUAAACAAGGGUGUAAGAAUCCGACUGUUACACCUCCACAAAAAAGACCUAGGGGUCGACCUAGAAAAAAUCAGGUUCAUUUCAUAUCAUCUUUCAAGUUUUGUUGUUUAUUUUUCAAAGUUGUGAACAUUGAGAUAAUGAUUGACAACAGGAGCCGAGGAAUAUAUUGUUUGGUCAAGGACAACCAUUGCAAACAGAACCUUCCCAAGGAGUAUCAUCACAGGGAGCACCUUCACCUUCUCAAGCAUCUCAGCCAGCAACAUCACAGGGAGCACCUUCCCAAGCAUCCCAUGGACUACCAUCGCAGGGAGCAACAUCUGAAGCUCCUCAUGUACCACCACAGAGAGGAAGAUCACACAUAAGAGGUGGAUCACAGAGAGGAAGAUCACAGAGAGGUGGAACACAGAGAGGAAGAGGAUAUUCACAGAGUGGAUGGCAGAGAGGUGGAACACAGAGAGGAAGAGGAGAUUCACAGAGUGGAUGGCAGAGAGGAGGAACACAGAGAGGAAGAGGAGAUUCACAGAUAGGUGGAUGAAGAUCAUGGUUUGAAUGUUCAAACUAAAGACUUUGAUGCAGCUUAUGUUUUUUGCUUGUUUUAGACAUAUUUUGGUCGGAUUGUACUCAUCAAAACAUGUCUUGUUAUGUUUGUCUUUUGUCGGAUUAGGUACUCAUGUAACAAUUACUUUUGUUUGGUCUUUGUUUGGUAUUAAGACAUGUUUCUUUUAUUUCAAUCUUGCAUUUUUAUUCAUUUUUAGUUAAGAAAACCUUACAAAUGAUGCAUACAAGUUCAUACAACAUUACACCAGAUGCAUACACUUAAUAACCAAUUGCAAGUUUCUUUUGGUUCCCCUGACCAAACAUUACAUAAACAAUCACAACUGUGGUAACACAAAGCCACCCAAAACACACAUUCAAGCACCUUUUACCUUUGGAAGCUUCCUUUUUUAUGACAAUUAUUUCUUCUUUCAACUCUUGUAUCUCAUCUUUUAACACAUUUGUCUCCGAUUUGGCUUUUCUAAUCUCAUUUGCAAUGAUGGCUAGUCUUGGUAAAGCAUCUUCAACUUCUUCAAGCACGGCGUCCUCUACCCACUUAAACAAGUGAUCCUAAUGCACAACCACAAUUUAGCUUGUUUACAUUCAAACCUUAAUUGAUUUCUUCUACUCAACUUACCUCUUUUUUGCUUGUCCACGAUUUUGCAUCUCUUUUGCUAACACAUCGGAAGAAUGGUCGUCCCGGGUUCUCUUGUGUCUUAGAUGUAAAGAUCGUGACCCCUAAUCCACACACACAUUUCGACGGCACUCCACGCUCUCCGGCGACACCUGAUGUCAGAGAGCUUGAACUCAUCGAAGAAGAUGUCGAGAGAAUUUGAGAUUUUUUUUUUUAGGGUUUAGGGAUCGAUUGGGAUUGAAGUCGAUUUGGGGCUUCUGUAAUUCAGUCUCUGAAGAAACGUCGUCGUUUUGGUUAAACGGAGACCGUAGACGGCCUGUUAACAGCGUCAUCUUGGUUCUAACGGAGACUUAACGCGGUGCCUUAUUUGGCCAGGUCAACUCAAACUUUGUCAUUUUUAAACUGGUCAACAGAAACUUUGUGAUUAAAGAGACGACUCGGGAGUUCAUGCUUUAAUCGUCCCAAAUUUGAAAGUUGGCGAAUUUUUCGACAUUUUUCCCAUUUCAAAACAUGUACAAGCUAUUCCAUUAGUGGACAUAUCAACUUUGAAUAUUCAUAAAGUUAGAGCUAAAUAAACAUGAGAUUACAACUUAUUUGAGUUACUCUCUUUAGACAAAGAUAUGAAAUGGUAUAAGUAAACUUAUAUCAAUCCUUCUUAAGCUCAUUCUAGAGUAACCCAAUUGCAAAAUCUUUUACCUAUACACAAACUUGAAGCCUUGACCUGGAAUACAAUCUUUAUCAACAUCGAAACAUGAAUGAUUUUUCCAAGAAACGAUAUAGCAACAAGGAUUAUAACUAGAUGAAUAUAAUAAUAUUCUACAAACUUUCAUCUAUUUCUAAUCUCUAGAAGAACACACAGAUUUCAUAAAUCUUGACAGUUUUUGUAGAGUGUUUCAAUGUUUCUUGGGAGGUUUCUGAUAAUCCUCCCAUCAUGAUAUCUAUAAGCUUUUGCUUUUGAUUUUUUUUUUUUUUUUUUCCGUCUGGGAAUUAUAUAUUAGAAUGGUUAAACGUUCUUAGAACACAAUCUUGAAGCACUCAAGAUGUACAAAGCUUAGAGAAAAGAAUAAACUUCUCUAAACAAUCAAAAAUUAGUCAAAGCAAAAGACCAUCGAAUACCAAUGUUUACUGAGCAAAAGAGGCAAGUCUCUCAUCUUCAAAAACCCUAUGCAACCAGGAAGGAUGUCCCGAAGCAAUAUAGUCAUGAAAUCUUCCAUCCGAAGUAACGCUUUUAGCAAUGAGAGAAGUACCUCUAUUCGAGUUAACACAUUCAACUUCCAGUGUCCAGUCUUUAAACUUCUCCAAAAAAUGGUUAAUCUCAACCACACAUUCAAGCUUUUGCUUUUGAUUUCAUGUCAUCCUUUUUUAUCCAUAUCUUUUUUGGUUAAAAGAUAUUCAAUUUAAAGCAUGAAAAAAAAUGUUUUACUGAGCUAAAGGCCCAGUAAUUUUUUUAUUUUUUUUCCGUCUGGGAAUUAUAUUAGAAUGUUAAAGAGUUUUUCAUUACAACGUAACACAACCUUGAUAAAAAGCUAAUGCCGGAAGAAAAAGAAGAAAUCUCCGGAAGCUAAAGCCCAAAAAAGGGAAACCAAACCCAAAAAAGGGAAACCUAAGCUGGCAGGUAGCGAACCUCCAGAUACGAUGAUUAAACAACGUGAUACAGAAAAAAACAAAAACCUAAGGAAACAAUUCACCGAGAAAUGAGCAAAACCCAAAGCACAAAAACUGCCCACUAAAACGGAGUGAAACCCACAAAGCUUCCCAUAGAACAUGUAAACGCCGGAGAGAACCCAAACAGACCGGAAGGGCUAUAUACAUAGAUAGCCCACCGCAUACAAACCAUCACCAACACCGGCAGGAGCGAAAGCAGGACCCAAACGAUAACAUAGAAACAGAAGCCACCAUUAUCAGGACACACAAAGAACAGCCGAGGAAAGCGAGCAAACACUAAGCACAAGGUAAAAAACCUUGAGAUUCGACCAGAGACAAGCCAAGGAAAACAAACACCUCUUACACACGGACCCUCGUCGACCCAGCUUCAACCAUCUACAGACAUAAAACUGGUAACCUCCUCGCAAGAGAAAAGAUGAAAGUCGAAUCCACUGCUUGCCUAGAACCUAAAUCCACAACUCAAAAGAGCCACAAAAGAAGGCUAGCAGAUGACGAGCAACAAACUACCAUCCGAAUGACCAGCAAUUGGAACGAAACCUAGCCUGCCAAGCAAAUACGACAAAUCCAGCAGACCCAACAAAGCAGAUGUACUAAAGACAAACUCAACCCGCAUACUUCUCAAAGCAAACUAAAACCAUCGGUUAAAGCCACACAAACACCAACACUAACAAAUCCUUGUCGAGAAACACCAACCAAAGAAGAGAGAGAUGAGAGAUAUAAAUUACCAGACCAAGAAACGAAACAUGUCCGAUCUGAGCCACUACCUUGACAAACCCGCAGACCAGACGGAUCAGUCACUAAUCACAACCAAGCCUCACCGACGAUGGCUUCCCCUCCUUCAAACGCUCUUCUCUUCAAAGAGGAAUAUGACGACAAGGCCACAACAACACCAAAAUCAACAGAUCUAAGCCAAGAAAUCCAAAGAAAACGCGGGAGAUGAAGCAAAGAACACGAGAAAGGAGGCCACGAAACCUCCGCCGCCAACCAUCCACCGAUUCUUCACCAACCAAACAUCCACCUUCGCAUUUACCUUUAAAUCACUGGAGAAAGCUAGCUAAAAUCAAAACUAAGAAGCAAGACAAAGAUCUAAGACCCUCCCACAGCUCCGGCGAGAAGCCCGGCCACCGGGGAGGGCAAAUCGGAAAAAUCGAAGCUUGGGCGGCUGGAUGCUAGGGUUUUCGUCGAGAGAGCCUUUUUUGACUUGGUGUCUCUAAAAAAGGGGCAGUAUUGGAAGCCCAAAAUACAAAAAUAUACUCCAUAGUUAAAAGGGAACCAGUACUUGAACCAAAAGUUGUAAUUGAACCAGAAAAUCGGUUUUUGAUCCAUUUGAAAUUUUACGUUUUGAUGAUUCCCCAAUCUUAAAGUUUCUUGAAAGUUUUAAAGUGAAUUUUUUAAGUUGGUGUGAUAUUAGAUCUUGAUGAGUCAUGUUUCUGAUGAGGACAAAAGCCCAAACUCACCCAAACCAUACCGCGCACAUACCCGUCAUGUAUCAACUGGCACGAACAAGAUCCGGUACAAUAACAAUGCAUGAUAGGAAUUCAACAAAGCCAUUGAUUUUCUGCUUAACCGCGAAGACUUCGAAGACGUCAUCAUCAAACUAGAGAUGAGUCCAUGAAUAACCAACAACCAACCAACGGUCAAUAGUUAGGUGAAUCACAACAAAGCCCACAAUAAUGGAAAAAGGGCCUCAUGGCCCCUACUCAAGUCGAGCCCAGCCCAAACUCUUCUUGUCAUCUCCCAAAAGGACACCACUUGAAGAGCUAACCUCUGUGAUUCAUAUUCUCUAGCAAAUUUUUAAACUUGUUUUGGUUAUACACCACAAUUUUCCUAUAUAAAAUUGGGUGUUUCUUUAAAUGUUUAAAAUGGUAAUGAUGUCUUAUGGUUUUUAUGUUGUAUAUGUGUCAAUAUAUAUAUAUAUAUAUAUAUAUAUUUUAUAUUUCUAUAUAAACUAGCGAGUUUUCACAUCUUUAGUAACUUUGUUCGCUCUUAAAAACAAAAAUUAUAUAAUAUAAGAUUUUUUUCUGCCAGAAUAUACAUAUACUAUGGUUUAAAAAAGAAAAGAGAAACAAACUUUCUAAAAAAAAUGGAUACGUGAAUCUAAGCUCUAAUUCUACACAUUUCACUUUUUUCUAUAAAAGAAAUUACACAUUUUACUUAAUUAACAAUGGUUUAAAUAUGGUUUAAAAUUGAACUAUUAGUUCUACACAUUUUUACUUAACAUUACUUAUCGAUUUUUGAGACUUUCUUUGUUUAAAAAAAUUCAUGUUAUAAGUUUAUAACAUAAUAUGCAGAAAAAUAGUGUAAUUUUCCAAAAUAAUUACAAGCAUGAAUCAGUUUCUUUCAAAAGAUUGAAGCGGUGAAAUUUUUUAAGGAAAAAGAUCGAGAAGGGAAAGCAGAAAGAAUACACACGUUUGUGUGUGUGAAUGUCUAAUAGUAUAUGAAUUUUGUUGAUUUUGUCUCGUAGCGAAGAAAGAAUAUAUGACGAUCAUUUAGAAAUUGAUAAGGUGGGAGUAUUUUGACAUUUUGUCUCUUCGUAAUAAGCCAUGCAUGUUCAGAUGUUCUCGGUGGAGGAGGGUUCAAAUACUUUUAUUGGGGUCAGAAAAAAUAUAUUAGAAAAUUGUCUAUAAGCUGCCAAAAAAGUUUAUAACUGUAUCCAACGUUUAUUCAUAUUUUAAAACUUUUUUUUUCAUCGCUAUUUCAUUUGUUAUAAUUUUAAAUAUUCCUUUUCAAAAAAAAAAAUAGACGAUCAUUUAGAAAUUGAUCACCCAUGCGAUUCCGUAGUGUCAUCUCCACAAUAUCCAUCUCGGAAAAACAUAUUUCGGAUAACAAAACUAAAAAGUAAAUGUAACUUAAAGAAAAUACUAACAAAAACUUAUAGUGUAAAUAUAAAACCUAUAAUUUUAUGUGUUUUUAAAUCAUACAAUCUCUAGUUUAACAAAAAAUAGAGAAUAUAAAAAGGCUACCUACUGAUUAUUAUACAAAAGUAUGAUACAUGUCUUCUUAUACAGUGGUGAAGAAGCAAAAAUUAACAGUUUAGAGAUUUUAUAUCACAAGCGUCAAGCAAACUAUAACUACAUAACCAAGCUUAUCACAAUCAAAAUAAUUAAACAAAAGGCAAAAGAAGAAUUACCUUGAGUUGGCGUCUUAGCGAAGCAAUAAGUAGAAAUUUUAUUUUUAUUUUUUGUUCUGCCGAGUAAGAGACAAAUACAUUUUUUAUUUGUUUUGUUUAUUUCGUAUAGAGAUAAUUAAUUAAUUUGGAUGGAUUUGUUUACUAAUGGCCAUAUAAAUUAUAAAAGUUGCAAUAACCUUUUAGGUCUUGAUUUACACGGUGACCCUAAUUUUUAAAGAAUUAAAGGUAUUGGGCUUUUUUACAUUUCAUGUAUUUAAACUAGUUGGGUUAGUGGGGUUAAACAAAAAAUUUAACUGGGCUCAUGAAAAUUAAUCUAAAUAAUAUAUAACAUAAUUUUGCAAAUUAGUAGGGGUCAGCUGACCCCACUAUAUGCCUCCGCCCCCUGUGCCAUGUUCUUCUGUUAAUAGUUAAAUUUAUAAAUUCAUUAGAAUCAAUGAAAAUGCACACGCUCAUGUGUGGGAGAGAGUGAGAGACCAUUAAAAAACCUACGAAGUACAAACCUAUAAUCUAUGAAAAUGCACACGCUCAUGUGUGAGAAAGAGUGAGAGACCAUUAAAAUAAAGUAAUAAGAAAAUAAGAGGACAAGGAAGAUGAAGAAUCUACCGGAUAUUCAGGGACAUCCGAUAAAAUUGGAAUUUCCCUCUCCUAUGCCAUUUUUUAUACUUGAAAAACAAAUUAUAACUUUUUCUUAUCGGUGAAAAUAGGAACCUAGAGUAAAUGUUUUUAGUCGAAAAACAAUAUUCUCAUUUUGAAAGUUCAGAAUCUUAAAGUUGCGUAAUAAGCCAUGCAUGUUCUUCUGUUAAUAGUUACACAUACUUAAAUUCAUUAUAAGCAAGAAUCAAUUACGAAUGAAGGACUUAUUUUGAUGGCUUUCAUAGAAUUUGCCAUUAUAUCAAAAAAAACUUUCAAAAUUGCUAUUUUUUAAUAUACAAAAACACAAAUUUACAUAAAAAGUAGGGUUUUAUUAGGUUCCAGAUUUUUGUAGGGUAUAGUUUUUGUUAUAAAGUAUAUGUUUUAUGAAAUUAUUUUUCCAAAUGUUUAGUUUUAAAAAUGGCAAAAUGGCAAAUUUGAAAGAAUAUUGAGAAAAUUGCAAUUUUGAAAAAUGGUUGAGCAAAAAUGGCUUUUUAGAUAAUAAUCUCUUAUAAUCAAUGAAAAUGCACACGCUCAUGUGAUACGCACUGAACUGUGUGUGUCAGAGAAAAAGGAUGAAACUAUUAAAACACCUAUAAAAUCAAAAUCAGAAGGGUAGCAUUUUAGAAUGCUUUUCCCACAAAGUGGCUUUAUAGCCAUUGUUCACAUAUUUUUUUGGAAGAACUACGCACCAUGAUGUCAUCAUCACAUCGACAUACAGAUGGCGAUAGUAACAACAAAAAAGCAAGUGAGAAAAGAAAAAACAACAAAUAGAUUUAGGAAUAUUGAUUCCCAAUAAACCUACUUAGAAUCAUAUUGCAAUCUUUGUUCGCAGAGUCCCCAAUAAACCUACUUAGAAUCAUAUUGCAAUCUUUUUUUGCAGUCCGAUCGUGAAGAGUAAAUGAUGAUUUAAAAGGUGAAUAAAGAGAGUUAAGUUUAACUUUUGAGAUGAUUUACAUACAAUUAUUUUUGUUGGUAUACCCUAUAAAUCUAUUUUAAAAUGUGUAUUGGGAUCCAUUUGAAUCCUUUUGAAUAUGCAUUAGAAAUUACUGGGUUCAAAUUUAAUAAUUAGAUUGUGUGCGUUUAAAAAUCCAUGCCAGAAAUUCAAACAACUAUUUUUAUAGUGCUCAUUAGAGCCCACUAAAAAGAUUAAUUGGAGUGUUUUUUUAUAGACAAAAUUAGAGUGCUAACACAAAGGCGGUUGUGUGACAUCCUUGGUACAAAAGGCAAAAUGAUAGUGAUAGUUUAGAUUCGAUUUGAAAGUGACAACAUCAGAAAUCUCUUCAAAACAAAAAUAAAAACAAACAGAAAAAAACUUGAGAAGUGUUGUUCAAAUGAAACUGGAGUAGAGGCAACAAAAGAAAAGAAAAUAAAUAAACUUGAUUAACAUGAAAGACAUUUGUGAUAUGUCCAUGAUGUUGCAUUUUUCAUGAGCUUCCACCGUCUCAAUUUCCAUCGAUAUUGACGUCCUGGAACUGGAAGUAGUAGCCUAGAUCAGGCGAGGCCAAAAGUUCAUUAAUCCAAUCAUCCAUAGAGUUGUUGUUGUUCAGCAUCUAAGAACAAAAAAAAAAUUGUGUCAUCUUUAAUAUUGUAUCGUAUAAUUGAAUUACUUUCCAAAACGCACAUUAUUAGAAAAGAGACUGUGUUACGUACGAGUUAAAAUCAAAGAAUCCAUAGCCUAAAAACAAAGCAUCGUUUGAUAAUGUGCGACCGAUUUGAUUCUCUUCUUACGUGUACAGAUAUAGAGAUAUGGUAAUAGCAGGUCUAGUACUCUAAAUAUAAAUAGUUUAUAUGUUUGUUUUUCCAUACUUCAUUAGGAGUCACCAUAGGUGGGUGUGUUACUGCUGCUGCUGCCGAGGAAGCAUCCACGGCAUGAUUAGGAGUAAUAGCCGGGUCUGUUACCGCCGCAGCCACCGCCUGGGAAGCCUCUCCGACAGCUGUCGCCUUUUUCCUAAGUUUGCAAAGGACAAAAGCGUCCUAUACACAAGUUAUAGAUUCCAUUAAUGAUUAAAUUCUGGAUAUACGAAUAAGCGUCACAUUGAUGUAAGUGUUAUAAUGUAUACCUUUUUGGGUUCAUCUUCAAUAAAUGAACUGUACUCAUGGAUGCUCCAACCAGACUUUAUACGUUGCAUGCCCCUUGGUGAGGAAGCGGAAGAAGAAGAAGAAGGAUUCUUUUUUUCUUUUAACAUGAAAUCAAGAUAUUUCUUGGAGCCAAUCUCUUUACCAGUAACGACGUCCUUAAUAAUGGUGCAUUUUCCGUUGACUUUCCAGCGUCCGGUCUUGGAAGACCUCUUUAUUCGCUGACAACUCCCAUUUAACUUUCUCACAGGUGAAAUAAUGUGCCAUGUGUGGUUAGACUUCAUCGUCGCCAAGGCUUUUUCAUGCCAUAUAAUACGUAAAGAUAUGUUAACUCAACACGACGAAUUCUAUGUAUUCAAAGUGUAACCCUUUUUUUAGGGGUGUUUAUAGAUUUCUCCCUUUGUCUUAAAAGCUUUGAAUUUUGCCUUUUUCUUGUAAUCUAAAGACACAAUUGAACACAUUCUGUAAUUGGGUUUAUAAGGUUCCAGUUUUUUUUAAGUAUAGUUUUUGUUAUUAAGUAUGUGUUUUAAGAAAAACAAUUUCUCAAUUAAUGUUUAGUUUCUUUAAGAAAUCAAUUACGAAUAAAAGACUUAUUUUGAUGGCUUUUAUAGACUUUGCCAUUUUGUUAAAAAACAUUUUUUGCCAUUUUCUUAUAUACAAAAACACAAAUUUACACAUGAUCCUUGGGUUUAUUAGGUUCUUGCUUUUUUUAGGGUAUAGUUUUUGUUAUGAAAUAUGUGUUUUAUGAAAAAAAUUUCCCAAAUGUUUAGUUUUUAAAAAUGGCAAAUUUGAAAGUAUGUUGAGAAAAUAGGAAAUUUUGAAAAUCGAUGAGAAAAAUGGCUUUUUAGACAAUAGUCCCUAAUCCCAAACAAAACAUGUUUAUAAUAUAACUCACUAGGAAUUUCUUGAGGUUCGUGGUUGCAUAGAUCAACUUCUUUUAUCAAGCUCUCAGUCUCAGAAAUACCAUCCUCUUCAGUGAUCUUCUUAUUCAAGCAAUCGAUGAGAUCAUGAUCGUUUGGGUUGAAACUGUGCAGAGACAUCUAUAUAUAUAUUCUUCUAAGAAAGUUUUUUGUUAAUGGAAGAAGAUGAUGAUGAUAGAUUAAUGGCGUAGCAUGCAUGGUAUUAAAUACGAAAAAAACAGCUUAAAGAUACAGUAGGUUUUUUAAGUUCGUUAUUUUAGAAAUGAUUUAGGUAAUCAAAAAGUCUAAAAAGUAACUUUUUGGACCUUGGGAUUAAUAAAGUAAUAAGAAAUUUUAUCUGGAGCUGAAACUUGCAAUUUCAGUCUAGCCCCAAUCAUCUACGCUUCUAAGUUGCAACGUUGAUUGAGGAGGCUUCUAAUGUGCCAAGGAAUUAAACUAUAAUCUUUGAAAGGAUGACCUAAAAGACAAAAAAACGAAAGAGUCAAGCAAAAUCCCUGCAUGUCUUAGUGGGAACUUCAUAAACUACAUGCAAAGAUAUUUGCUGAAAGUGACCUGGACAAACCUACAUGACACUUUCAAGAAAAUCCCUCACUCUUUGUUGGUGUGUGUAAAUUUGGUUGGUAAUAGAAAAUAUAUAAAAUUUACUACGUGGACGAUUGCAAUAAUUUUUUACAGUUUGGAAAUAAACUUGAAAUCGCUUUUCACAUUUUUCUUUCUUUCUAAUAGUGUAACUAAUAAGUCACUUUAUUAAACAAUUGCAAAGUAUCUCUACAUAUUAAACAAUUACCAACGACUUCUAAAAUAAAAUGAUGAUAGGUUUAGAAUUGAAAGAAUACGUAAUAAGUUAUUGCUCUCAUAUCCCCUAUAUAUUAAUAGAGAAACAUUUUUUUAAAAAAAUCUUACCAUCAUGUGUUAUUAACAAGAUUGUCACGCUGAUGUGUCGCUCUCACAAUGAUUUGGCUUCUAUUUAGAUAAUUACCCAAGAUUUAUUAGACUAUUUACAGAAUUUGCCAUUAGUCUCAUACAUCCAUAUAUCCCAUUAAUAAUUAAAAACAUACACUUUUUGUUUAUCUUAUAUUACUAUAUUUUUAUAUUUAUAUAUUUCUUUAUAUACAUUUAUAUAAAUUUUCUUUAGUGGAUGGGUAAACAAUCUUUUUAUUUAUAUUUAUAUUUAUGUUUAUAUUUAAAUGAUAAAAUAUAUAUUUGGUUCAAGAAUCUCGAAUUCAAAACUACAAAAUCUUUACAUCUUUCAUAAAUUUUUUACUUAAAUAAAUAAGAUAAUUUCCUUUCUAUAUAUGUUACGAAUGCUUAAAAUCCUAUUUUUUGGAGGAGUUCUAACUUUUCGAAGAAAAACAUUAUAACCACAUUUGUAUAUAAACCAAAAUCUGGCCACAUUAUAACUAUUUCGUAAAUAAUCCAUUCAUAAUCUAAGAAUCUUAGAUUUGGAACACUACAAAAUCUUAGCUUGGAAACUAUCAAAUCUCAUCUUUGCUAAAUUUUGGAUUUCUUAUACUUAUUAAAAAAAAAAAAAUUUCUUUUUAUACUACAAAAUCUUGAAAUUUUUAAAACAUACGGAAAGACAUAUUGCCAUAAAUGGUAACAUUUCGUCAAUACUUUUUUAUCACGUUGAAGCUUUAUUCAAAGUUUAAAUAUUUCACGGGUAAAACAUAUUCUUAUAUGAAAUAGUCCCAAAUUUGAAUAAAACAAAAAAAAAUUGUAACAUGUUUCGUUUUACACAAACGGAUCUUGGAUCCCGGAUAAUAAUUUUAAUCAUAAUAAUUUUACUUAAAUCACUUCAUCCCGCACAUCGUGUGGGUUGUUAUCUAGUCUUCUUUAAUAUACAUAAGAUGGAUUUUUUUUUUUGUUGGUCAAACCGAAUUUUAAUUCAAAACCUUAGAAGUUAGCUAUUAUAACUGAAUUCAAAGCUAUUUAGCAAGAGAAUCUGCCAAACAAUAUAAUUACCAGUGCUAGUAGUUUUUUUUUUGUUUCCUUGGCUAAGAUCACUUCAUUGGCGUUCCAAAAGAAAAAAAAAACCAUUCCAAACCAGCGUCUAAUGAAGACAUAUAAUCAUAAUUAAUUACAAGAGAAUAUAAUAGUAGUAAUGAUAAGAUAAAUCAGAGGAAUUGAUAAUUGAUUUGAAUGUUGCUCUUUCCUUUUACAUGUAGAUGUAUAUAUUGAUAGAUACCUUUUAAAAAAUGCUUCUUUUUGGCUAUUUUCAUUUUUGCACUCUUUUAAUUUUUAAUGACCAUUUUACUCUUAUUUGAGUCAACAAAAUGAAGAAGUGAAAUUUUUCCGUCAAAAUUUUUUGGCGAAAAAAUUAUCCCAUUAUUUUUGGCGGGAAACGUGAUCCCAUAAUGUUUUGCAGAAAAUGGAUAAACAAGGGUUUAUAAACGAUUUUAAAAAGAUUUACAUUUUAAAGAUUUAAAAGAGUUUUUAAAGGUUUUAAAAUGAUUUACAAAAAAAUUUAAAGGAUUUUAUAAGGAUUUUAAAUGAUUUACAAGGGGUUUUAAAGGAUUUAAAAGGGUUUUAAAAGAAUUUUAUAAUGGUCUUAAAAGGAUUUACAAGAAUUUUUAAAGGAUUUUAUAAGAGUUUAUAAAAGAUUUACAAAAGGUUUUUAGAGAUUUACAAGGGUUUUUAAAGGAUUUAAUAAAAGUUUUAAAAUGAUUUAAAAAAUGAUUUAAAGGAUUUACAAUAGUUUUUAAUGGUUUUAAAAGGAUUAACAAGGGAUUUUGAGAGGUUUUAAAAGGAUUUACAAGGGGUUUUCAAAAAAUUACAAAGAUUUUUAAAAGAUUUACAAGAGUUUUAAAAUAGUAAAAAUAUAACAUAAAAAUAAAAGAUUUACAAGAGUUUUUGAUAAAACUUUUGUGAUUAGUAAAAAUAAAAGUUAUACCAUUUGUAGUGCUUUAUUUUUGUUCACCGAUCAAAGCCAACAGUUUUAUAUAUUUAAAAAAAUGUUAAGUUGUGUAUAAUUUGGUUAUAGGUACCUUAAAAUGGGGGAUAAAUAGAGAGAGGAUAAUUAGAGGGAGGGAAGAAAAGACAAGCGAGACAGAUCAACAUAUAUACAGUAAAACUUCUAUAAAUUAAUAAUAUUGGGACCAUAAAAUUUUAUUAAUUUAGAGAGGUAUUAAUUUAUCGAUAAAUUAAUAAUUAUGAAUUUAUAGAGAGAUGUUACUAAUUUUGUAAUUUCUUAAAAUAUUUCUAUCUAAAAAUAAAAAAAAUUUAUAAGCAAUAUCUUUUUAAAACCAAUUACAAGUAGAGAAGCAACUAUUAAGUUUAAAAAACAACACACAAAUUUUUCGAAUAAUAGAAUCCCAUUUCAUUAAAUAUUUUACAUAUAAUAUUUUAAAUAUAUAUUAUAGUAAUUCAUAUAUGACAUAUAUAAAUUUAUAUCAUAUAUAUAUAUAUAUUAAGUUAAUAUACAUAUAUAUAUAUAUUGAUAAAUUUAUACAAUUAUUAAUUUAUGAUAUAGAUGGGACCAUAUGUUUACAUGAGAUUUUCAAAAAAAUUAUUAUCUUAUUAAUUUAUCGAUUUAUGUCAUAUUUUACAUUGGUCCCGAGUCGAGACCGAAAAAAUUUAUUAAUUUAGAGAGGUUAUUAAUUUAUAGAGGUUUUACUAUAUAUAUAUAUAUAGAACAAGUACCGAUGAAUUAAAUUAUGCAAAAAUGCAUUAAUAGCCUUUCCUAAAAAUAUUAAAGAAGAGAGCUAAGGAGCUCAGUUUUGUUUCUCUCUCGAGAAGUCAGCCGCCGAGAAAAAUUCUGGUUCUGUGGCAGGAUCGCGGUGGCUCUCCUAGCACCGGAUCCGGUCACAUCGUCUCUGCUUUAGUUUAGCUUUUUGUUCUCAGUUUAUUGCGGCUCUGAUUGAAGAAUAGAGAAGGCGAGAUGGGUUUCUAGGUUGCGGUGGUUCGAUUGCGAUGGAGCUUUUGGCUUGAGGAUGGGUUGUGUGGUGCUUUGGAUUGGCGAUUCCUCUCCUCGUCACGGCAUGGACUUCAAUUUUGUCUCUUCUCAAAUCUGGUUUUCUCGAGAAAGAAAUCGAUUUUGUGGAGGGAUAGCGAUGGUUAUCAAGGUUGUGAUUAAGAGAGGCAUGGUUCUCGAAUCUGGAAAUGGUGGCGGAAGAUCUCUGCUUCAGGAGUUGGUGGUGUUGUCUUUGGGUUGUGGCUUUCUGCAGCGGGUGAUAGGUUGUGGCUUUCUCGGCUUUUGGUUUCCGGUGGUUGCGAGGUGACAGAGGCUUUUUGUUUCUGGUCCUUGUCGGGUUUACGCUUAUCUCGCUUUUCUCUUUUCGGAUGUUAGUAGUUGUAUGUUUGUGUUUGGCUUGUGGUAGUUGUUGUUGGUGGGUUUAGUUGGCUUUUGUCUUUGGACUAGUUGGGGUCAUGGUUUUGCUCUCUGUUAUCUCAUGAAAGCUCCGGGGAUUGGUCGUGUUUGGCUAGGUUUUGGAUAGCUUUCAUUUUAUCCCUUCUCUGUUCGUUGAAUCUUUUAAGUUUAAUUUGUCUCUUUCCACCGCCUCUAGUUUAGGAUAAUAAGUAGGUUUUCUCUCGUGGUCUGUUCCUUGUCUGUUCUUGUAAGACUAACCUUUUGUGGGGAUGCAAAGUUCUAGAUUUAGACUUGUUCGGUAGAAGACUAGGUGGUUAGGAUUAAGAUUCGCGAUUGUGGUUUUCUUUUCUCGGGAUAUUCGUUUUUAGUUGGGUUAUUUCUUCGCGGUUUCCUCUAUCCUUGGUUCUACUCCGUUUGCGGUUAUAGGUCUUUUAGUCUGCGACUUUUGAGCUCUUAGUUCCGCGUCUAUUGUUCUCGUCCGACUUUCCCGAUGAUUUCGAGAGCUUAACUUUUUGACUUUAGUCCUAUCUUAUGUUUCCCGUGUAUCGGGCUUUAGCUUCCGGGGAUAUCUUUGUUUUCCGCCGGCUUUUGUAUUUCAAAACCGUAUUCCAAAAACGCAUUCCACCCUUGUAUCCGUCUUUUGUAUUAUAUAAUGAAAAUCUUUCAGUGAAAAAAAAAAUAUAUAGAACAAGUACCGAUUUUUUCUUACCACUUUCGAAAACAGUGGUUUUGUCCAAAUUGUAAACCUUUUGGGAAUGUCUUACGAAAAAAAAAAGAAGAAGCUAUAUAUAUAUAUAUAGUCAUGCCAAAUCAAACAACAAAACAUUUCUUAUUUCUUUGAGAUAAGAAUCACUACGAUGUUAUCAUCACAUUUCGCUAUCUUUUGCAUCAUCAUCGUAUCAUUGUUUGCUCUUCAUGAAUGUAUGAUGUGUCCAGAUAGUUAUGGGAAAUUUAUAAAAACAGGCAAUUUUGAUGAGAGAGAUACGGAAACAGGCGUUACUAUAGUGAAAGAGUGAAAAGUACCACAGUGCACACUUUUAAUACCUUAUUUUUAAAUAACCCUAUAGUUUUUUUUUUUUUUUUGAUAAUAAAUAACUCUAUAGUUAGUUAUUCAUCAACAUAUUUACCACAAUUGUUUUAAGAUAUCUAUUAUUUUUCGUAGGUGAAAUUGGAAACAUGGAGGAGAAUCUUAACGCAAGCAAAAUAGUUAUAUAUCUAUCACCGUGUGUUCGAAAACGUUGUAGCUUUAGCUUAUUCAAGAAUUGUCAUUGCUGCAGAGGGAAAUAUCCGUUUUGUUCAAAGAACAUAAAAGUAUGCGAGAAGGAGUGUCUAAGACUUAACCCACCUCCACCUAGGCCAUAGAUCUGGAAAACUUGCAAAAACGUUUUAAAAGAAUUCAUAAAUCUGAUUGUUUUCGUCCUUUUUGAUAAAUAUAUGAAUUUUGUAGCCAUAUAUGUGGCUUUCUUUUAUCAUAAGAAAAAUAUAUAUGUGAUUCCAACAAAUAUGCCAAUCAUAUUUAGCUCAUAGUAACUUCUAGAGGUCUACGACAAAAUUACAACAACUAGAAAUACCUUAAUUGUUACGGUUUCACACAUUUUUCGCGCAAUAAAAAUAAUAUGAAUAUGUGGCUCCAACAAUUACUAUUCUCAAAUUUUUGGUUGGUUAAAGAAAACAUGAAAUUUCUACGGUUUUUUGUUUUUCGUGUAUUAGUUUGAUUUUUAACUCGAGAUUUUCCAAUGAAAAACACAUUUUUUAAUUAUUUUUCUCUGUACUUUACUAAUUUGAUAGAUUCAUGGACUCCAUAAUCAAUUACUCUGUUAACUUUACAUUGUAUAUCAUAGCAGGCAUUCUUAACAUUUUUUUCUUUAAACAACUACGAACUAUCUAAUAACUAAAUUAAAGAUAUUUUCUUACGUAAAUGCUAAGGAUAUAAGUAAAACAUAAUAUAUAUUUUUUAUGUUAAUAAAUAUAUAAAUAGGAUGAUUAUUUUAAAGUAAGGAUUUAUUACAUUUAAUAAAAAAGACACAUGCAUGCAAAAGAUCUAAUAACUACAAGUAUCAAAUUUCGUUUUGUCAUCUUCUUUUCUGUAUUAGUAUGAUUUAAUUAAACUAAUUUUAGUCGACAUUUGGUUGAUUGAUAAUCAAACAAAUCUAACAGGAUUUAUGAGAUUAACAUACGAGAUAUGGUUAAUUACAUACUUAUUUACAUAUAUAUAGUCAAGCCUUACUAAAUCAAACAACUAAACCUUUUUUUGCAAGAAGAAUCACUACAAAUGUCAUCAUCAUCACAUUUCGCUAUCUUUUGCAUCAUCUUCGUUUCCUCUUUUGUCCUUCAUGAAUGUAUGUUGUGUAUACAUAUCCUCGUUGAUCAUCAACAUAUUUAUCACUAAUUAAAAAUCAAAAUUAUACGAUUUUUUGUAGGUGAAAACAUGGUGGAGGAUAUUGACGCAAGCAAAAUAGUUAUAUAUAAGUCACCGUGUGUUCGAACACGUUGCAGCAGCUUUAGCUUCUUAUGGAAUUGUCAUUGUUGCAGAGGAAAGUUUAAGAAAAUAAAAGUAUGCGAGGCAGAGUGUCUAAGACUUAACCCGCCGAUAACUUCUUCAUAGAUCUUGAAAAUUUGCAAAAGCGUUUAAAAAGAAUUCAUAAAUCUGAUUGUUUUCGUUCUUUUUGAUAUUAAAAACAUGAAUCUUGACAAAUUCAUGCACUCUAUAAUCAUUUACUUUGUUAACUUGAAAAAUUCAUGGACUUCAAGCAUUACUUUCUUAGCUUAACAUGUACAGUGACUUUGCAAUUGUGUCUCUGCUACGAUUUUGCAGUUGUGAGCCAAUAAUAAAACCAUAUUUCUUAGGUCUCGAUUUCAUAGACAUUGGCAUUCAAAAUAUUGUAAUAAAUCUGUGCAUAGUUGCCGUUAACUUAACGCUUAACUAGUCAGACGACUCCGACCUAAACAAAGAGACCACAAUUAAUCUGUACAGAGACAUGUCUUUGACUCUUUGUGGUUCAAAGGACGAUUACGAAAACACAGACCUAUAACUGCUUGCGGUCACCAAGUCUUAGAUCAAUGAGCGGCUACAUAGCACAAGACUUCCCGAACUGAUUCUGUGCCUUAGCUUCCACGUUUCAUUUAGAAUAUCGGAGCUGUUAGGUCGCUUCAGAUACUCGGCUACAUCUAUCUUUAGUGUUUUUAUGGGCUUCACAGGUUUUGUGACUGACUCAUAUGGGCUCCAGCUUCCUCUGCUACUUAUGGUACCAAUGCUCAUCCCUUGCCCACUCGAUGCAUCCUAUCCAAACACAUUCGUUUCAGAGAAUAUACAAACCAGAAUCUUUCUACGAGUCAUCUAUCUAAUCAAGUGAUAGUUUUAGACCCGUAAGGGCAAAAAGCAUUGUUACCUGAGUUGUGUCCGACUCCCAGAGAAGAGAUUUUGUAUUUGGGGUGUGUGGCGACUUGUUAAGGCAUGCCAAUGCAGCAGCAGAAGUGUCGUCUGGAGUAUCCCAUUGCAACCAUGGAAGCAUAACACCGUCCAUUUCAACAGGAAUACUCUUCAGAGCAGUGGUGCCUUGAGAGCUUUGUGUUUUUAUCAUCCCAAAACUUGAACUACUUUCGCUCCUCUCAUCCUCCAGUGAUGAAAAGUCUGUGUCUUCUAUGUUUGAAAUGAAUUCGUCAAUGAAUUGCUCUGCUUCAUCUGCCAAACACAUGGACAUCCUGCUGCUCCGGUCCUUGCUCCUCUGUCAGAAAAAGAAAGAAUUUUUUUUAUCUUUUUCAUGCAAAGAGCCAACCUGAAGAGGAACAUAUGCUGUUCUGAGAGUUGUAAUACUCACCUUUCGCGUCCGCAACGGCUUCUCCUCAGCUUCAGAACUAUUUUCAGUAAGUAACUCUUUCAAGUUCAUAGAGAGCUCUCUACCACGCUCCUCCUCCAACAUAAUCUCAGCCAGCAAAUCUCGCUUGCGCUCCUCAGACUGUCAAUUCAAGGGGAAAAGAAGUGUUGUAUAUUUGGUCAUUGAUUCCUCAAUGAAAGAAACUACCAAAUAGAUGCAUAUAGAAGUUGUACCUCCUGCAAUUUUGUUGCAUAACCAUUCGUAAAUGUGGAGACAGCACGGUGAUCAUCAUGGGAUUUCCGCUGGGAACCAUAUUCGGAGUUCCCCAAAGAUUCUCUCUUCUUUGGUGUUGCCUGUUUAACAUGUUCAUUAAAGCAACAAUAAUACAACAAUAAAAACAGUCAUAGGAUAUUGUUAAAUUUAGUCAUCAUAUCUAAUUAACCAUUAUAAAAUCUUAUUCAUUCAGAUUCUCUCAGUUUAAAGCAACAUCCAGAAAGAUCUAUCCUUUUUAUAGGACUAGAAUGGUUUCAAGCAGAGAGUGAGCACUCAUAUAUAAGUAAGUUAAUGUAGUGCUGAGAAAAAUAAAUAAAAAAUAAUAGUUGGUUGAAUACCCACAAACCUUAUUUUGGGCAUAUACUGUUCGAAUUAUCCUCUCAGUUCCAUGCUUGGUAGAGCUGGAAUCCUUUCCUUCAUCAUCUGUGACUGCAGAAGACUGGCUCUGUAACAUCCCAGACAAUUUUUCCCCAUCAGUAACAAAAACUAUAACAUUUCUAGCGUAUGGAGUUAGACCAGAAUAUAUCAUACACAAAAAGAUUAACCAACAAAACGAUUUCUAAACAAGGAUAGAAUACCAUAAAACCAAAGUAUAUUUAGACUUACAGAGUAGCCAUCAUGGUAUUUGACUGGAUUUUGACUAAAAGACCUCCUAAGACCUUGUCUAUUAUCUGAAGCCACAGAUUUCUGAGAACCACUAUUUUGACUCUUUCCACUUAUGAAGCUUUUCACAUCCCUUGAACUGCUUGAAUACUGAACUUGAUCUACAUCACUCUGCAAAUGUAAAAUAAUUCAUGUCGAUCACACUCCUCCAAUAUACAAUACACUACCCAAAUACAAAUCACUACUCAUUACCAACAAGCCAAAUGCACACAACAAUGAAAAUGUUCAUACACUGCUCUUACUGAUUUAAUUUAAGAUGGUAAAUGCUACAAUUGUUUAUAUGAUUCAUAAAGUUGUAAUUAUGGUCCUGUUGCUACAAAGUUGUCUCAUAAUUGUAAUGGAUUUUGAUAAUUAUAGCUUUCUACUAAAGUUCCAAUUCUAACUAAAAAGGUAAAUAGGUUCCUCAUAAAUUGCAUCACAUCACACCACUCAAGAGGGCCCAAGAGAAACUAUAUAAUAAGAAAGAUAUCAUCAAACAACAAAGUAAGCAAUCACAAAAGUGUUUUACCUCCGAAUUCUCAAUCCGACGACGGACAACAUAAAUCGACCGUCCCCGCCUUGAAUUCGCGAUUUCACAAUCUCCCCCAAUUGCACCACCACCGUUCUCUGUCUUAACCUUCUCCCUCGGUUGUCUAGAAACCGACCUCCGCCGGCUCGAAUUGUUGCUCACCGGAUCUACCCUAACUGAACCACCACGAUUAUUACUUUCCGGCUGUCUAGACAACGACCUCCGCCGUCUCGAGCUUUCAGUAUCAGCCCCCAACCUCCGUAAACCACCGUUACCACCAGAACAAACCCUAGAAACAGACCGUCCCCUCCUUAGAGAAUUCUCCACCUCUCCUUCACCUCCGCCGCUACCACCACCAGACUUUCUUAAACCAGAUCGUCCUCUUUCUCCGCUACUAAUCUCACUCUCACCGGAAAACGAUUCAAAAAACUCAACAGCUAAAUCAUCAAGACUAAUUUCACCGAAUCCAGAACCUCUCACGGUGUUAACAAACUUUCCCUUCCUCAUCGGAGUCACUUCGAUCUCUGGAUCCGGCAUGCGGUGAGAGAAACGGCUCAAACUCCGGUGUCUUCUCGAAGCAGACCUCCGUGUAGAGUAAGAAGAAUCGUCGCCACUCUCUGAGGAUUUGGCUAGCGACGUCGUUCGCUUCAUCGUUGAAUUGAAAGCAGAAGUCGCCAUAAUUGAGAAGGAAGGAGCUAGCUUCUACUGGAGGAGGAGGAGGAGCGGAUGAUUCGACAUUUUGAAAUGUUGAGCUGUUUGAGGAAUCAAUUGCAUUAUGAUAUGCUCCCAAUUAAUUCCAUUUUGACUUAAAUGCUUUUAAUUUUUUUUUAAAACAUUAAUUCGUUUUUAUUUUAUUAUAUCAAUUUUAAAAAUCUUACUAUAUUUAAAUGCGGAAUAUUUGGGAUUCAUCCGAAAUUCUGACCUUACACUAAAUUUAUUUCCCAAAUUAAAUACUAUUUACGUCUACAUAGUUUUUUUUUUAAGUUUGGUAAGAGAUUUGCUUAUUUUAAAGUACUAUAUUGUGGGCAACAUUAAGAAAAAUAAAUAAUUAGGCUCACUAAUGCGGAAGCAUAGCUUGAGUAAAAGAAUCAACUCAAAAUGAAGAUGAGUAUAUAUGGUAGGAAAUUGGUUACUUUGCUUGUGGCAUGAUUUAUUUAGAGGACAUUUUAAAUUUAUUUUGUCUUUUAUGGGUCAUCUACACUCUACAGUAGCUUAUUGUUUUUGAUCCCAAACAACCUCUUCUCCUAUUUCUUUUCCAACAAAACAAAGCUUUUCAAAGUAAUUUCUAAGAAAUAGAAAUCCAAAUCGACAGACGAAAGAAAAGGUUUUUCAUAAUUCGAAACUUACUUGUAUUGAGAGAUUUAUGAUUAGAUGGUCAUCGAGUGAAGAUUAUGUGUUGAUGGUGCAAAGAACAAGAGAACAAUCAACAUUAUAACCAAACAACGUAUAUAUAUGUUUCUUUUCUUUUGAUCAUUUUGUUGGUCGUCGAAACUCUUUUAUAAGUUUGAUAAAUUUUUGUAUUUAUAUGUAGAGAAACAUAAACUUAUAAGGUUAGUGGGUUAUGUCGUACGUCGACUUCCAAAUCAGAGACUAAGAAAAAUAUUGAUUUUGAUUCAUUAACAACGUUUCUUAGUAGACUUAUAGGUGUAUACACGUGUUGUCGUGUUUGGACGUAGAAGAUGCUAUUCUGACUCCUGAAUUUCUUGUAUGAAAUCUGAAUUGAUCCAACUUCAAUUUUCUCAUUUAUAGUAUAUAAUAUGUCUUGUUGAGAACACGUUGAAGUACGAAAAGACCAAAGAUUAUUUUAUAGCGAAAGAAAUAACGCUUUCACGUUGUCCUUUUCAUUAGGAUGCCGUUAUGUUAUGGAAGAUUUUUAUUUAAUUAGUGCAUUUUGCGCACGAUUUAAUUUUCAUUUUUAUGUAAACUUAUAAAAAAAAUCGAUAAAUGUUUUAAAAAAAUCUUUUGAUAAAUGUUUCGAAUUAGGUUUUGUUUAAGCUACUAUUAAAUCACACUUACAAUUUCUCAAGCAAAUUUAGUUUUCACGUAUUUCCAUGAGUCGUAAUUCAGUGCAUGAAAGAGAUUUAUUCAUGAUAUUGAUUCAUGUUGUUAAUCAGCGGAAUACAAUUGUCAUUGUUUAAUUUCACUUAUAAACCCUCGUACGUCACUUGUAGACCAAUUUAUCUUAUUUUGGCUACUAAACAAAAUGUAUUUGGGGGAUGUGCCUUUAGUCAAGUGGUUAAGUCCACUUGACUCCGCCUUCCCCACCGGAGUUUGACUCCACUAAAUCGCGUUACCCCACGUAGUAGGGAUUGACUAUGGAUCGGGCCUUGUCGAUCCAAAGAUGUCAAAAAAAAAAAAAAAAAUGUAUUUGGAAUUUGUUUCUGUUGUUCUGCAUAAAUUAAAGGGUACUGUUCUCUUUUACAAUGGUGACAAGAACUAAAACAAGAAAGUGUGUAUUUGUCUAUUGAAGAAUUCCUUGGGAUUUCUCAUUUAUGUUGAAUGAUCAAGUUGCAGAUAAGAAAAAGAGAUAAUUAGCUCAAAAGUAUAAAUCUGGACUUAAAUUAGUUUUUGGUAAAAUCUUGUCGGAGUUUAAAACAAUAGCAACAUUAGCCCAUCAUCUUUCCGUUUUUAGCCUCACGCGUUAAAAGAAACGCAACAAUUUUUUUUGUUUCUUCCGAGACAAAUAUGCGUGUAUAUGUAUAUUUGCCAAACAUCUAUUGUUCUAUUGUGGAUAUCCACAUAUCUACUUAGAUCCAUAGAUCUACUUAGAUUCACAUCUCUAAUUUAUAAAUUUGUAUUUUGAUGUGCAUCUUUUUUUUGUAGACAUCUAUUUAUUCUCUUUAUUUUCACUUAAUGUUGAUACAUAUCUUACUGUUCAAUUUUUUUUUCAAGUAAAGAUUUGAGUUUAGAUAUUCAACUUCCCCUGUAGAUCUAUAUUUAUUCAUGUAUAUUUUGUGAAGCAUCUAUUGUUUGUUUUAGAUAUCCACAGAUCUACUUAGACCUACUUAGAUAUGUAUCUAUUCAUGUAUAUAUGUCAAGCAUCUGUUGUUCUAUUUUAGAUAUCCACAGAUCUACUUAGACAAUUUGCAGGUUUGUAUUAAAUAGAAGUCGCCUCCUUCAUGUAUAUUUGCCAAGCAUCUGUUGUUCUAUUGUAGAUAUCCACAGAUCUACUUAGACAAUCUGCAUGUUUGUAUUAAAUAGAAGUCGCCUCCUUCAUGUAUAUUUGCCAAACAUCUAUUGUUCUAUUGUAGAUAUCCACAGAUCUACUUAGACAGUCUGCAGGUUUGCAUUAAAUAGACGUCGCCUCCUUUCUUCUGUUGCCGCGUAACUGUCACGUCCCGCUCAGAGAUGUCGCUUCGUCCUUUUUGCCAAAAAAGUCAACAAUGUUAUCCCACUCGCAUGGAUACGUAAGCUACUGGUUUUUUCGUUAUUAUUGCAAAUGAGAAGGCGAGAAGUGAAGCUGAUUUUCUGUUACUUGGAGACAAGACAGCCAUUUACCUCUGCGCUAAUUUGCCUCUCUGUUUUUACCUCUGAGCUAACUCACCCUAAGAAAAAAGGGUUCACAUUUAUUCAAGUCUUAUAUGUUAUAAGAAUUUGGGUUAACAUGUAUUAAACCAAGUCUUACAUUUUAUAUUGAGAAGACAAGGAACUUUAUUUAAUAUGGGAUCUUAGAUUCAUUGGUGUUUCAAACCGAACUUAUUAACGAAUCUAAGAUUUUAAUACUAGCACAAACCGAACUAUAAACUGUACUAGUUUUUUUCUUUUUUACUUUUUUUUUUUUGGCAUAUGCAGAGUGCAUUGAUACAAAUGAUUUCAUAUCAUUUUGAUCUCACCGAUUUUUUAGAAUCAUACAAAUUUUUAAAAUAUACAAAUUUAAAACUAACAUCUUGAGGGGAUGUGCUUUUAGUCAAGUGGUUAAGUCCAUUUGACUUCAUCUUCCCCACCGGAGUUCGACUCCACUAAGUCACGUUACCCCGUGUAGUAGGGAUUGGUAAUGGAUCGGGUUUUGUCGAUCCAAAGAUGUCAAAAAAAAAAAACUAACAUCUUCAACCAGAAUCUACUGUUGUUUUAACUAUUAAGUUGUGUUCCAAAAGUGAAUUGAAAGUGAAUAAAAAGUUUUUUUUUCAUUUUAUUAUCAUUAGAAUUAAUUUAUUUUUCACUUACAUGUUAUAACAUCAAUUGAAAUUAUUUAAAUUUGUUGAUGGUCUAACUCUAAUGCGUCAAUUGUUUCCCAACAACAACCUCCACAGUUAUUUUUUCACCUUACAAAAUAGUCAUUCUAUAACUCUCAACCACCAUACAGUAAAACGUCUAUAAAUUAAUUCGAUAAAUUAAUAAAUAUAAUAAAAUAAUAAAUUAUGCCGAUCCGAAUCGGCUCAAUAUAAAAAUUAACAAAGUUCAAUAAGAUAGUUAGAUAAUAAAAUUUUCAAAAUUAUUUUAUAAACUAUGGUCACAACUCCCAAUAACAUCAUAAAUAUCAAAAAACUAAAUAGAUAAUGUAUGGUUUUAGUGUUUUAUAAAUUAUAAGUAUUGAUUUUCGUUAGAAUUUGUCUCGAACUCAUUAUAUCAAACAAUUCUUUUAUCUCUAACUCUAAUUAUGUCAAACAAUUAUUAUGUUAUGUUUUUUAAUUAUCAUGUUGUUGUAUCAUUUAUAACUUCGUAAUAAAAUUAGCCAUAAAUUUAUGUAAAUUUCCAACUUCUUAGUAUGCAUCAUUUUCAUUUCAAUAGUUUAUACACUUUUAAAAUACGAUAGUUGAAGUUAUCAAUCGUAAACUUAAAUUUAUGUAUAUCGUUUCUAGAAAUGAAUUCAACUAUAAUCUUUAUGAUUUCUUGUCAAAUGAGUUUUUUAAAAAAUUUCAAUUUAUACUCUUGGCGGACAUAGACGAGAGGUGGGGCACAUGUACUAUACUCAUUUUCUCAAUUAUUUUUUUCAUUUUCUCAACUACCAUAUGUAUUAAAUUUAACAAAUUUUCUCAAAUGUAUUUGGUUAUGCCCUAUACUUGUGCUUUAGGUUUCGGAUCGGAUUUGCUUCGGAUGGAAUAAUUCAGGUACGAGAGUUUAUCAUCCAUUCAAGGUUUAUGACUAUUCGGUUUGGGUAGAUAUCGGGUUCGGAUCGGUAAGAAAUUUUUUAUUUAAAAAAAAAACUAAAAAUUGUUUGAUUUUAGUUAAAUUUGGUUAAAUUUUGCAAACAAUUGUACAAUUUUGACAAAUAUAACUAAUAUUUUUAGAUAUAUAAAUUAUUAUUGACAUUUUUGUUAAUUUGAUAUUUUUGGUUAUAAAAUUAUAACUAAAUAUAACUAAGAUUUUCUAAAUAUAUAAUUUUAUUUCUCGUUUUCGGGUAUAAUAUUUGUUUUUUUGGUUUUGUUUGGGUAAUUCUGGUAGAAACAUUUCGAAUUUGUUCAGAAUUUGUUCAAAUUUUCAUCAUGGCUUCUCUUCUUUGUUCCUACUUUCUUUCACCCCCAGCCGUCAGUUUGAAGAAAGUGGUAGUGAAACCCUUGAAGAACUCCAACUUUUUUGCAUCUUUCAUCGAGGGAAUAUCUUCAAACCUCUACAUUCCAGCAGAAGCUGUCAAAUACAAACAUUGGGUGGACUUGGCUCAAAACUCCUUGCGUGAUCUUGCAACUUCCUUUGAUGCACAAAUCGAUGAUGAAAAGAUGGAGAAGAAUUAAAAGCUGCUACUUUGAUGUCUUAGCUCCAUCGUCUCAAACUGCUCAGAUCUUUGUCUUAGAGAAAGCUUUAGUGUUUAUGGUAGGGUAAACAAGUGUUGAAGGAGAUCCCACUCUUUGAUGUUUCGAAGAAGAAUAUCAAAUCAGAAAAAUCCAUCCCAAAAUAGAGAUCCCUUGUGAUGUUUCCUCCUCCUUACAAGCAACAUCACAUCCCAAUUUUGUACAAAGGGAAAUCUCUCAAGAAGAGCUUGCCACACUCUAUGCAUCUUUCACUAAUUCAACCUUCACCAACAAAGCUCAAUUCCAACAAAAUUUUUGGGAUGAUUGGUCCACCUAUCUUGGUGAGACAAGUCUUGUCAAAGCCUUGGAGGACUUUGACUUCUCCCCAAUCUAUGGAUGGGUCUUACUAGAGAAGGAGAAGAAGAACAAACUUAGCAUUAAUGUAAGUAUUCUUUUCUCAUUCUUACUUGGAUAGUUGCAAACUUGCAAUAGGCUAGUGAGAUAGUUCAUGGACUGAAUCCUCCACUGUGAUAUUUUGGUGUUAAACGUUGGUUAGCUUGUUUGUGAAGUUAGCUUUUGUGUGAAGGUUUUAUUUCACCAAUCUUCUGUUUUGUUAUACACCAUGUCUUGACCAGACUCUUGAGACUCUUUUGACUUAUGUGAGCAAGUUUGAUGUGCCCCAUCUUUGUCUCCUCUUUUGGUCCCUGUUCAAUUCUUGUACAAGCUGUUACUGCUUUCCCCUUUAGCAUGUAUAGUGUCUCAACUCUUUCAGCCUUCAUCAGUGUUAUGCAUCCCUUUAAAGAUCUUUAAAAUCCCAUUCUUGGAUUUAAACCAGCAUCCUUGUUCUCAAGUGUUCCUAAGGAUAUGAGAUUCUUUGACAUGCAUGGAACAUACAUGAUAUUAGUCAACAAGACUAUUGUUCUAUCUUCAUUCAAAAUUCUCACACUUCCAAUCCCUUGAACCUGUGAAGUAGUGUCAUUAGCCAUCGACACAUUUCCAGAUUCUGAAACUACCAAGUCUUCAAACCAUUCUUUUCUUGAGCUCAUAUGAGAAAUACAACCUAUGUCACAAAUCCAUUCUUUAGAACUUUCUUUACUUGCUUGAGCACCAACUUCUGAAACCUUGAACACAAACCCACCAGAAACAGUAUUUUGCGCUGAUGAUUCUUCAUAUCUUUCCACUGACUUCUCCCUUGACUUGUUCUUGUUCUUUAGGAAGCACACUUUCUUGACAUGUCCCUUUUGUCCACAUCUCCAACAUGAACCUUUCUUCUCUCUUGACUCAGAUCUAACCUUUUCUUUUCCCUUAGCUUGUUCUUCUCUGUAGUCUGACCUUUCUCUUUCCCUUAUAGAUAAACAUGUCUCUUAUUCCUCUGUUUGUCUCUUAUUCCUCAACCCGGAGCUCUGAUACCAUAUCCCUAGUUGAGGAUAAGCAAUGACUUCUCCGCACAUAAGCUGCAUUGUGGGAGGAAGUAUGAUUUCCUUCGUUGAAUGAAGUUCUGCAGGGCUGAUGAGACCUUUGGAAGUGGGAGUUGUGGAUGCCGGAAUCCGCAAUACAAAUUUCGAGAUAUGUAUCGGGUCGUCUAGCUUAGAUGAUUUGAAUACUAAUCGUCAAAAAGAAAGCCAAGAAGUAAAGUAUAUAUCUCUGUUUAUUGCUCCAAAAAAGUCUCCCCCUUUACAAUGAUUUCUAACCCCUAUUUAUAAUUACAUUGUCGAAAUCCGUUAUCACCAAUCUAGCCGCGAAUCACGCCCUCAUUAUUUAUUUCUGUUUCAAAUCUUCUUAAAUCCGCGACUUCCGUAUGUCCCGCACUUGAUUUACUUCGCAGAUUCCGACGUUACAUUCGAGUCGGGUUUAAACCUAAUGGGCUUUCCACCUCAUUGCAUGGACCAGUUUUACGGCCCACUUUACUUCCCAGAUCCUAACAUUUCCGAGCCAGAUCCGAAUUGCGGGAUCCGACACCAACAGGAGUCAGACUCAGACCUCACCGAGCUCUCCUGGUAGAUCUAGGCGGAGACCUGCGGUUGUCUUUGCUAGACUUUUCCCUCGUGUUGAUGUACCUAUGAGAGUCCCUGAUACGAUUAGAGUAAUCAGAAAGGUGGUUGUUACUCUCUCGUGUCUCAGAUCUCCCACCUUCACCAUACCCUCUUCUGUAAUCUCUACCUACUCCACGAGGGGCUUCCUCUCUCCUAUGCGGCAAAUGAGUCUUCUUUUCCUCAUGCCUCCGCUUAUCUUCUACAAUGAGAUGGGAGUCACGAUCCUAUUUUACUCCAGAGGGUCUAUCCUCCUUACUUCCUGAACUUGUCUUCAGGGGACAAGCUUUCUCUUCAUGGGAUAGAGAAAAGCAAAAGAAACAGUUUUUUUUCUAGUUUCUCAUACUCAAGAUGCAUUGUUGUUACUUCACCUGUAGGAAGGCGAAUUGGAAUCUUCAUCUCCAAAGGCUCUAGACCAUUAAUAUUCACUCUAAUUCUUCCUUCUGACAGGUCCUUGUCAAUAAUCGAUCCUAGAUCUUUUUCUACUUUUUUUCAGAGUUAGAUCCGUGCAGUGGUGCAUUGGGAUAUCAUGAAUCUUUACCCAAAAGGGAAUGAAAGCAGGAAAGAACUCUGAGACAAUCGGUUUCCAAUGCUGAAGGAUGAACAUCCACUUCUUGAAGUGGUAAGGGGCUCGUUUUAGAACCAGUUGGAUAUCAGCUUCUAACUCAACCCUGAAGAAGAAGCGUUCAGGACCCAGCUCUCUGCCCGUAACUCUGUUCUCUAGGUUCCAGUACUGAAUCAUAUACUCUACCAGUGCUCUGGGACGUUGGAUUUGAGCGUUUGUGACUCUACCUAUGAGAGUAAGCUUGCUUUCCUCAAUAAGAGCCGAGUUGUCACUCUCUGGGAUUCGAAGAGGCGAGCGUCGCUUAGUUCUGUUUCCACCAGGAGGAGCCACCCAUUUUGCUUUUUUUUUCUCUUGAGAACCGAAGCGCCAUGUUGAGGACUUGAGAUAUGAGCUAUUACUAACACAGGUUAGCUAGAAGGCCGGAACAAGUUGUAGGGACAAUGAAGAAGACAAAAACCCUCAACCUGAGGUAAAAACAGAGGAGAGCUUUAACAAGAGAGCUCCACUCAAACUGCAUCAACACCAGGCUUAAAGUCUGCACUAGGGCAGUAAACAAGGGCACCAAGACCCCGCACCUGUGAAGUAACAACUACUGUAGACCAACACUGCAACUAUCCAUAAGGAUAGCGAGUUUGGAGCAGUGAAACUACAGAGAAAAAGCACACCGGAAGUCAUACCUUCUUGAACGCAGCAAACUGAGUUUCCUCCGACUUAGUAACAUGAGGACAAGACACCGGGGAAGAAACCAGAGGCAAAAAAGGUCGGGAUUUGCCUUGAAAGUGGUCAGAAAAGGGGAAACACAAAAAAACUUUCCUAAAAUAGUGUAGAAAAGUAGAUGAGAUCUGCUUUUUCAAAAUCAGUUAACUUCUUUUAGCUCCUCGAACUUCAUGCCUGAGAGAGAAAAAACUGAUUAGGUAAGUUGUUAAUGUUUUCUUGUAGGGAACGAAAUUACAGGAGAAAGGGUUUGGGAUCGAUCGGUGUUCAAAGAGGUCAAGAUCCUAGUACGCCCCAGUUAUCCACUUCAUGGAGAAGGCAGACUAUGGCCUCCUGCUAGAUCCUAGCGACAAUUGGUUUUAUACAUAUAUAACUAUGAUAAAAAUAAAAUGAGAGAUUCAUCAUAUGUGUAAUAAUAUUUUCAACCUUAUAAACUUAUUCCUAAAAUCAUAAUAGGAAUGUGGUUGGAAACCAAUAAACAAAUCGUUUUCUGUAUCUAUCACCGACGGCUUCAACCUCAAAAACUAUAUGUGCAUAUGUAAGAUGAUAUCAAACGCCCAACUUACUUGCCUAGAAAUUUGUCAAAUUCCUUGCGUAAGAGCUUUGGUGAAAAUGUCAUCCAAUUGGUCAUGUGUGACAUGAUGAAUUGUACCUACGAGAGUCUCAUAACGAUGGAAAUAAUAGUUGAAUUACUAUAGUCUAUAGGACAGUUCUAAGUUUUAACUAGUCGUAGAACCAGAGCCGGCCCUAGCCACAAGCAUGUGAAGCAUCUGCUUGUGGCCUUCAGAAUAUAUAGUUGUAACUCGGCCCCAAUUAUGAAAACUUUAUUAGUUCAGGUGGUAAUAACUGAGAGAUUUAAUCCCUUUUAAAUCCUAGCAUCACGGGUUCGACUCAUACUUCCUUCCUUUUAUCUCGUCUGUUAUUUUUUUUUCAAAAAAAAAUUUUUACAGGCCCAAAAAUUAUAGCGCCGGCUCUGCGUAGAACGUAGUCUGAUUUAUGCAAAGUUUUUCCAAAUGUAAGAUUCAUAUCGAUUUGGCCCGGCCUUUUUUUAUGUUUCAAGUUAUGAUGUACCGCCCAUUUAUCAGAACUCUUUACCGGCGGAUUUUCCGAUUUGAGCCGGCCCUUUUUGUAACUGUGUUUCACCGACAGGCCCAAUGGCCAAAGCCCAUUUAGGUUGAAUAAAAGGAUGCAUAUCGAUUGUCCUAGGUGUGGAAUCUCACUCAACUUAUGAUCCUACGAACUAUCUUUCAGAAGUUUAAAAAUAUUAUUGGAACUUAGUUUCAAGACGUUCUAAUGAAACUUUCCGUUAUUAGUAAUUAAUAAGUAGUCUAAUUUUUUACUUCACCAAAUUUAUUUAACAAGUUUUCCUGAAUUAUUUGAAGGUUCACUUUCAUAAGAGUUGGCCAAACUCUUAAUACAUGCAUUAAUUGUGUGAUUAAAACAUAAGACUCCUCACCUAAGUACUAAUUCCAUAAGCCCACAAAGUACGAGACAAUAAAAAAGAAAGAUACCCAAGUGGACUAACCAAGAUUUCAUACAAAACCCAAAAAAAGAAAAAGGGUAAUACACCAAACACUACAAAUUAAAACAGAACAUAAAAUCAAAAUGUUAAAAGCUACAAAAUUGCGAAAUAUGUAUGCACACUCAUAAAGUUGUAAGUCCAAAGAUCUCUAACUUGCUUGUCGCUAUUAAAUAUCAUCAUGUCAUCAAUCUAACAUCAUCUCUAAUCCACCGGCCCAAAACCUCACCGUCCGAGACAAAGAGCAGCAUCAACAUCAAGCCGCCAAGCAAAGCCACCGUCACUCAUCCUCCAAACAUCACAGAACGAAGUAAUCGAACUCACCUCCUUAUCACGACACGUGUACUGCAAUCUCAUUCUACACGUAAAAGUCCGGUACGUUACCAAAGGCCUCUCCUUCAUCACUAACCACACACUCAUCUUACCACACUGCUCAUGAUCUUUCCCAACCACCAAUUCCCGGUACGACCGGUUCGUCCAAAUGACUCUCCCUAAACCGUCCGAUAUAAAACCGGGACACGUGUCUCUCUCUAAAUUCAUCUUAAUCUCAUCGUCCGUACACCCUAACUCAUACUCUCCCUCCAUCAAUCUCUCCGUUACACACUCCACCGUCAACACCGACGACACAACCGUUUCCGUCAUUAACUCCGUCUGAUAACGUCUGUUAGAGUUAAGCCACAACGACGCCGCACCUAGCUCCGGCACCGCCACAGCCUUCAACGGCGACUCUUUCUUCUCAGGAGUCUCCGGGAGAAGAGGCAACGUCACGAUCUCUCCACCGACACCAGAUCCGUUCUUCGUCUCUUCGUUUCUCUGUCGUCUGCUGUUACCGUUACUAUUAACGGAUCCGCUACUGCUACUGUUAUUCUCCUUUGAAUAUUUUCUCUUACCUCUCCGUGAUUUCGACGAAACGUUCGUUAACGCCGAUCCAUUUUUCUCCGUCGGUGAAGCAGAAGAUCCACCGGAAUCAGGUCUCGGUGCAAUCGGACGGUACCGGAGCAUAAUCCGAUCAACCUUUGACAUAUCAUUUCCACCACCACCACCACCACCACCACCACCGUACCUCGCAAUACAACAACCUCCCCGGAAAUUCAUGUUUUGUCUAACAAACAAGUUUGUUUUGUUGGAGAAGAAGUGUUUGGUGUGUAUAUAAAGAAAACAAACUUGUUACGUCGACACGUUUGGAGAAAACUUUGCCACGUGCGAGACCAAACGAUGAACAGCGCAACGACGUGAUUGGACGAAAGAUUAGAGACGUGGCGUUUUGUUUGAAUCCGACAUGAGACUCGAAGUACGAGGGAAGUGGUGACCAAUGAGAGAGCGAGGAGUGGCUAUUAGGUGCGGUGCGAUUAAAGGUAGCCACAUAAGGCUGCGACUUUGGAGUUACGUGUAACAGAACGCGAGGGUUUUGGUUUUAAGAUGAGAGGACACAUGGCGUGAUCUUGUUUGCUGUUUUGUACGUUCAAAAGUUUUGAGAUUUUUUUUUUUAAGUUUGGUUUCUAUUAUUAGCAUGUAGGAUGAGGACGAUUGUGACACGUGAAGAGUAAGGCUGUGACACGAAUCUCCUUUGGAUGUGGAUGGUUGCAUUUAUUUCCAGAAGAAGAUACUUUUUGCAUGCAUAUAAUUGGUGGAGAGUAUAAAUAUAAUAUAAUCACACUUUAGAAAUAUCUACUACGAAAUUUCCGGAUUUCGCUAAAUUACAAAAUAAUAAACCGCAUGAAAAUUUAGUAUCUAAGUAUUCGUUUGACAAAAAAAAGUACAGCUAUGAAUAUCAAUUAAGUAGAUAAUAGUUGAGAAGAGAAGAUAAGAAAAAAACAAUCAUGUGUUGUUUAAUAGACAUCUUAUAUUCUUAUCUAAUUAAUUUUCAAUCAUUAUUAUUUCAGUACGAUUCAAUAGUUUAUAGUUGUCCACAUAACCUAUUUAUUAGGGGUGUGCACGGAACGGAUAUCCGGGUUUUUAAUGGUAUUUGUUAUUCGAUUCGUUUUUUCCGAAUACUAAGUUUUCCGAUUCGUAUUUGCUUUGUUAGUGACCGGAUAUCCGGCUGUUCGAAUAUCCGUUAAAAUCCAAACUAUUUGCCGGAUAUUCGAUCCGUUAAGUAUUUGUUUAAAAUUAAACAAAAAAAAUUUAAUAAAAAAAAUCUAAUCCAAAAAUUGUAAAAUUUUAUUAAAAAUAGUAAUAUUUUAUCAAAAAUAUAUAUAUUUCUCCUUUAAUUGUUCAAACUAGUAGUUCAAAUAAUUAAUUUAGAGAUUAAAAAUUAUAAAAUGCUUACAAAAAUAAUAAAAUUAUAAUUUAUAUAUGUAAUAAUCUAUAUAUAUGUAUGUAUUCCGGAGCGAAUCGGAUAUCCGUUAAUUUGAAUUAUAGUAUUUGAUAUUUGAUCCGAUUUUUACAAAUAUCUAUUUUUAAUAUUUGAUUUGCUUCAAAAAGUUACGGAUAUCCGGAUUUUUCAAAUCGAAUCGAAUCAAAUAACGGAUCGAAGCGAAUCUAACGGAUAUUUUGCCCAGCCAGUAUUUAUAAUCCAACUCAAUAUAAAUUCUAGAAGAAGAUACCUUUAGCAUGUAUAUAAUUGGUGGAAAAUAUAAUAUUAGUAUAAAAUAUGCAUUAGAACUAUCUACUAUUUUUUCAAUGUUCCGGAUUUCACUAAGUUACAAGACUGUAAAACCGCAUAAAAGUUUAUAGACCAUAAAUGUAGAACAUGGUGCAGAAUGGAAAUGUUAUAACCGGCCGUUGUUAAAUUUUACAUUCAAGACUAGGAUCGGACCCGCGGUCCACCGCGGGAGAAUAUUAGUUUACAUACAUUGCGUUUAAUAUUGUGUAUGUUUUUAGUAGAACGAAUCGUGUGGUAUACUUAUAAAUAUUCAUAAUAACGAAUUGUAGAGAAAAUGUAAAAUUGUUUAUAAAUAUACCCAUCGUAUUAAUUAUGAUUUACAAAAUAGAAUUUUGUGUUUUAAAAUUCUAAAUUAGACGAUUCAUGGGAAUUAGAGCAGUCAAAAUAGGUCAAAAACCGCGGGUCGAGCCCACAUCAUCUCACUAUGGGGCAGAUUUGGGAAAAUAUAUUAAACCCGCAAAUAAGCGGGCCACAUGGAUUAAUUCGCAGUGGGUCAUAGGUUUAAUCGGUUUUCAUCCGCGGGUUGGCGGAUCAGCCCGCAUAUUAGUAUUUAUUGAUAAAAUUAUAACUUAUUCAACAUGUGAUAAUUUAAACAAACUUUUAAUAGUAUUUUGAUUUAUUUAUUUAUUUUAGUAGUAUUUUAAAUUUUGGUUACUUUAAAAUUAUUUAAACAAAAUCCAUGGACAAUCCCGCAAAUCCGCAUACAUUCGCGGGACGGGUUUGUAGUUCAUAUAUGCUAGCCGCGGGUCGUGCGGACCGACUAACUACAAGUCAAAAUAUUUUUUGUCUAUCGCAAAACGGACUUAACGGGACGAAUCAACUCGCUUUGAUAGUUCUAAUGGGAAUAUUAUUUAGUCAUACAAUAAAAUGAAGUUUGGACAUAGUAAUAAUAGAAUAUGUAUCUUAUUUGUUAGAUGAGAGAUUGAAAGAUGAAGUAUAAUGAUUAAAAAUUAAUUAUUAUUUUUCAUGAUUCACAAAAUUUAAUAAAUACUUAUCAUCUUGUUGAAUAAUUCUAAAAUCAUAUUCAAUAAAUCUUUAUAAAUUGAAAAUUAAACUUCUUUGGUAAGCUAUAGGUAUGAAAAUAUCAUAAUUUCGAUUUAAUCUAAUUAAAUUAAAAUUAGUUACAUGGAUUUCAUAUCUAUUUAAUUUACACGACCAAAAUAAAAAUAUCUAUUUAAUUUACACGAUCAAAAUAAAAAUAUCAAUUUAAUUUAUAAAACAUAUGGGUUAUUUGUGAUAAAUUUUCUAGAAAUCUUUAGAAGCAAGUGAAAUAUCUUUCAAUUAAUGAUAAUUGGCUAAAAUGAGCGAAAUUAAUGACAAAAACGUUGAUUGUUAUGGAAUUAGUCCCAAAAAUAUAUGAACAAAUUUAUCAUACGUAAUUAAUGUAUAAUAUUGUUUGGAAUAUGCUUUUAUUAUUAGUUACCAUAAGUACAAUCAGAUUUUGUUUGAUUUCCAUAAAUAUUUGAUUUUAUUUCGAUUUUUCAUUAUUAAUUCGAAUUUAUAUUCCAAAAAAAUUUCAAAGAUCCGAUUUCAGAAUUUCGGGUCAAUUUUCUGAUUCUAACCCGACCCAUUUUCAUUUGUACUUCUCUUUUAAUAAUAUAGAGAUAAUUAUUUAUUUUGUGUAAUUAUUGAUUAAAAUAAUAAAAUGAGUAAUUACUAUUAUGAUGGUCCAAAUUCUAACAGAGAAAUUAUGAAUUGCAUGUCAUAUAAAUGCAUAAAAUAGGUUGUGGUUAAACAAUUGCAAUGUGGUCAUAAGUUUAUUUUUAAUUCAAAAUUUCUUAAGGAAAAUUUGUAAAACAUAAGAAAAUGUUACCGCCUAUUUAUAGAAGAAUUUGUUUGAUAAUUAUUAAACCAACAAUUUUUCUUUUAAUUACUUUAUAUUUUACGAAGAUUCACUUUACGGUUUGUAAAAUAUUUUUAUAAUUUUGAAAUAAUAAAUUUGUAAAUUAAUAAAAUUAUAGUUUAACUUUAAUUUUUAUGAUUCUUAAAUAUUGAACAAUAUCUAAUAAUAUUAGCAAUCUAUAUUUCAAUUUAUAGUUGGAAAAUUUGCACCAAUAACAUACAAAAAAUUUAUAAUUAAGUAGAUAACCAACAAAAAAAAGCCAAUGAUAGUGUGUAUUUCUUAUAUUUUGGACCUUUUUGCCCUUGUGUCUCUCCCUUUUUUUUUUACUUAGGGCUUGAUUGGUUCUCCCGCUAGCACCCUCCUAGCGGUUGCUAGCGGUCGGUUGCGGUUGUUAGCGGUUGGUACCAAUCAUAGAAACUGCUCCGUACCGCUUCAAACCGCUCGAAAUCGCUGAAUUUCAAAAGCUCCUUCCCGCAAGCGUUUGCGGUUGCGGGCGGUAGCGGUUGGAUUUAAAAAAAAAAAAAAAAAAAAAAAAAAAAAAAAAAAAUCAAACGUUUACUUAUAAUUAUUAUAAAAUAUAUUAAUCUUAUAUAUAUCUUUCGUCUUUGUAUCACGUUCUCAUCAGAAACCCUAAUCAAUAUUCUAAAACCUUAUUUUCUCAAUGUCUUCCACCCAAACUGAUGAAAAUCAAUUUGAAUGUUUUUUUCUUUCAUUAUAUAUUGCUUUUCUUUUUGAUUGAAUAUAUGUUUCGAUUUGUUUUCUCGAAUAGAAAAUUACUUGCUUUUUGAUUGAAUUCAACGUUAUUUACAGUUUGUCCCAUUACUUGAUACAAUUUUUGGUGUUAACGACCCAGCAUAAAGUACUAUCUUAUUAUAAAAUUUUUUUAUUUUUGAAUAAUUAUUUAGUACUUUAUUUAUGGUUUUAAUUAUUAAGCAUGUUCAAUUUUUCUAAUAUUAUCAUAAUAAUAUAUUGGUGUUUUUAUUUCUUUUUUUUUGUAAUAUUUUUUAUUUUUUUAGUCAUUUUUUAUUUAACUGCUACCGCACCCGCUGGUUUACCAGUCAUAAAACUUCCGCAAACGCAUCCAUUUUCAAACGCUAAACCAGUCGUUCAAAACGCUUGGUAACGCUUGAAACCGCAACCGCCCGCUUCCGCAAACGCAACCGCAACCGCUGCGUUUAAACCAGUCAGACCCUUAACAUAUCCCCUUUUCUUUGUAACUGUAAAAAGUUAGCUUUGAUUACUAUUUCUUUUGGGACAAUCAAAUUUUGAAUUUCUUUAUAGAAUUUCAAUUUUGCGAGAAAAGUUCCAACGACAGUCACCACCACCACUACUACUACCUCCACCACCAUCGCCGUUGUCCCAACCACCAUCGACGUCACCAUCACCACCACUAUAUCACCACCACCAUGCCGUCAUCACCACCGCUACCACAACUAUGCUAUCACCACCAUACCGUUACCAUCAUCAUCACCAAGUUAUUACCGUCACUAAGUUAUUACUAUCACCACCACUACUACCUACAUUUUACUAAAAAUGUUUCGUUCUAUACUAUUUCAUUGGAUUCUAUACUAUCUCAUUUAUGUUUAGAAAGAUAAACACUAUUCAUUAUUUUAAAAAAAUCUAAGAUUUAAGAAAUUCAAGUUGUGUUGGAUGCAGAAAAAAAUAUAUAUUUGUUUCAAGUAGAUUUGAAUUUUCGAAUCAUUAUUUUGUAAAAGAUAUGUUGCAAAAAAGUAUUAAAGGGUAAACAUUAUUAUAUUUAAAAAUAUAGAGGAAAACAAAUAAAGAUAACUCUUUAUUUUUCUCAUUUGCCACGUACCCUUAAUAACUCUAGUUUAGUCAUUACUUAAUUUUUCAAAUUAAUAUGCUAUAUUCUUAAUUUAUUUAUCAGAAAUGGUUAUAGAGCAAAUUCACCCUUUAUAGUUCCAAUGCAACUCUUGAAGAUAAAUUAAAUUGCAUAAUAUAUUGACAAAUAUGGACUGAAUGUGUGUAUACGUAACUAUGAAGUAUAUAAAUAUGACAGUGCCAACUCUUUAAGAUAAAUUAAAUUGGAAAAAUGGAUAGGAAAACCUUCACCUUUCCUAAAAACGUGUAAAAAACCAUCAAUUUUUUUUUGUGGGUUUUUAAAUCCUCAUCUUUUUAUAAGUGGUAAAAUAAACCUUAAUAUUAAUAAAUUCAACUUAAUUUUUUUAAAUCGUUAUAUUAAACAAUAAUAAACAAAAACAAUUUAAUUUAUGAUUAUUUUCUUCAAAUUCGAGUUUGCAAAUUUUUUCUUUCUAAAAUUAAGGUUUUUGAGCUAUAAAAAUUCAUUCACAAUUUAGUUGAGAUUAGGCAAAUUAUUUUUGUUACCAUUAGAAGUUAUGUUAUAUAAACUACAAAAAUUUAUAGGAUAGCACAUUUGAUUUUCCUUUUUGUUUGAGUUUUCAAUUUUAGAUAAAAAUAUAGUUAAAUAAUAUUUAACUAAAUAUAAUUUAUAUUAUAUUUUUUAAUAUAUCGUGAUAUAUAUAUAUAUAUAUAUAUAUAUAUAUAGAAAUAUUAACUGUUAGUAAAUCUUAUUUAGUUCGGCCAAUAAAAAUUCAUUUACUUUUUGUAGUAUUAUAAAAUUUGAUUUGGUUUCACGUUAGUAAAUUUGUAUGAUCGAACCGAUAAACCUUUAUUAUAUAAACUCAUAUUCGGUUUGGUAUAAGAAUUUAUAUUUUAUUCGUAACAAAAUCUGUUUGGUUUCACGUUGAUGAAUUUUCGUAAUACAACUUCAUUAAUUAACUUUUUCACAUCAUGACUUAAAAAUUUUCAGUUUAGAAAAAAUUUGUAGACAAAAAUUUUAGUAGAAAAAUUCUAAAUCAAAUUGUUUAUAUUUAUUUAUGUUUUAAUAUAAUUAUUUGUUUGAAUUUAAAUUGAGUUUAUUAAUAAUAGGGUUUAUUUUACUAUUUAUGAAAAGAUGAGGGUUUAAACAUCCACAAAAAAAGUUGAGGGUUUUUAAUAUGUUUUUAUGAAAGGUGAGGGUUUUUCUGCCCAUUUUAUUUGAUUGUUCAUUGGAAUCCAAAUUCUUGAAAUUUGACAAAUUUAAUCUUAAAUUCAUCAAAAGUAAGAUAAUUAAACCCGUAUUUUCUUAAACUACAAGGAAUACUUAAAAAAAAAAGAAAAGAAAUGUUGAUGCAUAUUUUAUUGAACACUAGCACACUAAUAAAAUGCUCCGAUUUUUAUUAUAGCUAAACUUUUGUUGGAAUACCAUUUUCACUAGAUUUUCUCCACGGAAAAAAGAAACUCAAGACAUAUUUCUUGGUGGAUUUAAAGGGGUUUUUUUCCGCUAGGUUCCAUAGGAGGAAUUGGAACAUUCUUAGGUAACAUUCCGAAAAACAGACGUUGUGAUGGUGACCAUAAAUUCAUAUUUUCCUUGUUUGCAAUUGGUGGUUCUUUGGUACUAGGUCCUGAGGGUGGAACAAGCCAUCUUGUAACCGGUGGUUCUUUGGUACUAGAUCCUGAGGGUGGAACGAGCCAUCUUGUAACCGGUGAUUCUUUGGUACUAGGUCCUGAGGGUGGAACGAGCCAUCUUGUAACCGGUGGUUCUUUGGUACUAGGUCCUGAAGGUGGAACGAACCAUCUUGUAUCCGGUGAUUCUUUGGUACUAGGUCCUGAGGGUGGAACGAACCAUCUUGUGACGCGUAUUGGAUCAACCGAUUUUUUAAGCAAACUUUCGGACUGCCGAAAAUCUCCAGAUUGAUGUAAGAGGCUCUUCUCGUUGGCUUCAAGAACACCAACAAAGAGGAGAACAAACAAUGCUGUCACAGUAUACGAAUUUGAUUUCGUCAUUACAAGAUACUUUUACAAAUUGUUAUAACUAUUGACCAUGUUUAAGUUUUAUAACAUUGUCAUAAAUCUUAUCUUAUCAUCUUAGAAUUAAAGAAUAAGAUUGAAUAUUUUCUAAUAUGGAAUGUUAUCUAAGUAUGGUAACACUGAAGAUUUUUUCCCCAAAAUAUUCUUUUAAUAUAUACUGUAGAUUUUACUGAAAAAAUAUAGGCAAAAACUAUUAUUUAAAUAAAUAAUAAGAAUAUAAUUCAACAUUUUAUACUGCAAACAUUUCCAAAAUUUAUCUUACCAUCCGAGUUCAUUUGAAGCUCAAAUUUUAAUGAUGUUAUCUAGUCAAAAUAUAUCUAUACUAAUAUUUUUGCAACACUUUGGUGACGGGUGAGUAAAAAUACUUCUGGGUUAUAUUUAACUCAACUCAUACACCGGAUAUUUCAUAUUUAAUAAUUUAGAUAUUUAGAAGAUUUGAUUAAGAUUUAGAAUUAUGAUUCUCCUAUCACCUUUGUUUGAUUUGUUUUUAACUGUUUUGAAUCAUUAUAUAAUACAUAAAGUAUAAAACAAAAAUCAAUUUUUUUUUUCUGCAUAUACUGUGAUUCGAAAUUUUAAAAACGGAUAUAUAUUAUCCAAUUGACGAAAAUAUGUGUUCAACGUUCUACAUCAAUUAAAAUAUUUAGACAAUGAUUCAGAAUCAUAUCAUAAAUAAAAUCAACAUUAAUAAAAUAAAUGAGUUUUUUGGCCGGACGAGUUUGGCGUGACGGGUUUUUGAAUCAAUAAUAAUAAAAACAUUAAAAUAUCAUUAAUCCGCCGCUUCAAUACGGAUUAAAUCCUUUUUUUUAAUACCACCAAUAUUAGACAUAUUAAAUCAGUCUCAUUUAGAAAAGAUUGUAUAAAACCAAAAAUUGUCCCGUGGUAUAAUGUUACUUAAUAAAAAUAUUUAUAAAUUUUUUAAAAUAUCAUUAACAUGCCGCUUUAAUACAUAUUAAAUCUUCAGUUUAUUAAAAUAUAAAUGUCUUAGAGAAUGAUAUGAUUUGUAAACUUUUGUAUAUAAUAAAUAAUCAUUAAAUUUUAAAAUAAAAACAAAUCACGGGACGAGUUAAGAAAUUACGGAACGAGUUAUAUUUUGGAAAGGAUUUAUAUGGCGGACGAAUUUGAAUCAAUAUUUAUAUACCACUUUAAUACGGGUUAAAUCCUCAAUUUAUUAAUAAUUGUCUCGUGGACUCGUGGUAUACUCUUACUUAAUAACAAUUGUAAACUAUAAUAUACAUAAAUAUGUUAUAACGAGAUACAAUUUACAAAAUAUUUUUAUACUAACUUUAAAAUUAAAUUAUCCCGCGGUGUACCGCGGGUUAAAAUCUAGUUAAUUACUAGUAUUUUUAUUCCUCUUUUCUUUUGUUAUCCAAAAUAAAUCUAUAAACCUUAAACUUGAAUUUCACUAACUAUGGUUUCAUAUAGCUUAUCUCAUUGUGAUCUGUAUAUAAUUCCAUUGGAUUCCUGCUCCACCAAUUCUUACACAUGAUCACUAAUUCUUUAUAAGCUACCAUUUUGUUUUCAAUGUGCCACCAUUUUACUACCAUUUUGUUUUUCUCUUUAUUCACCUGACAUAACCAGUCGCAAACAAUAAACCUUAGUGAAACACACUGCACAAAACUGCAGCAAAUGUUGCUCUCAAGAAAAAAGACGACAUUCCGGGGGGAACAAAAAAAACUCAGGAGAGUUUUUAAAAUAAGAAAAAAAAGAUACAUCUUAAACUGAUGCCAUUUCGUUUUUCAGUUUCAUGUAGACACAACCUUCUUCACCACUUUCGUAACCUCUUCCGGGGCCUUCUCUGCUGGUAUGUUCACCAGAUUCCCCUUCUUCGCGUAGUAGUCAAUUACCUGCAACAACAACAACAAUCAAUUCCGCAAUUCAAAUCUCUGAUAGUCCUCAAAUUCAUGUACUUUAAGGAAAUGUACCGGUUGCGUCUGCUUGUGGAAUGCAUCCAGCCUUGAUCUAAGAACAUCCGCAUUGUCAUCUUUACGUUGAAUCAAUGGCUCUCCAGUCAGCUAAACAAACAACGAAGUUGAUACAGAGAUCAAUCACAAGAGAGAUGUUUCAGAACUCGAUUUACUAGUCAAAUGAUGAAUCAGAAUUUGAUGGUUUUCUUACAUCAUCGACUCCUGGAACUUUAGGAGGUGCGAAUUUAGUAUGAUAGCUUCUUCCACUUGAAGGGUGAAUCCACCUUCCAGUAAUUCUUUCUUCCAGAACCGAAUCAUCGAUCGCAAAAUUAAGCACCUUAUCUAUCUGAGCUCCCCUUCUAUUAAGCAUCUCAUCAAGCUACAUAAUUUAUAAAACAAGGUCAGAACAUUUUACAAGAGCAGAUACACAAACAACCGAGCACAGCAAAGAACCCGAAACCUUCUCUGCCUGUGUAACGGUCCGCGGGAACCCAUCAAGAAUGAAACCUUUCUGACAUUUGGGUCUGUUCAUGGCUUCAUCCAUGAUGCCAACAACCAAGUCAUCAGAAACAAGCUCUCCCUUAUCCAUUGCCUCCUUUGCCUUAAGACCAAGAGGGGACUUAGCAGCAACAGCAGCUCUAAGCAUGUCACCAGUAGACAAAUGGCACAAACAAAACUCAUCCUUUAUGACUGGAGACUGUGUACCUUUGCCUGAACCAGGUGGACCUGCCAAAUCCAAAUCAUACAUGAACCUAAAACUCAAUUCUUCCUUUCUAUUGAAAAAACACAAAUUCACACGCUUUCUUCAACCAUAGGGACAUCUUCCUUAGAUUACACAAGAAUUUGAGCUAAACCCUUCACUAUGAUCAUCAGAUAAAGCAUUAACGAUAGCAGCAAAACACAAUUUUCACAUACUAAAACAGACAAAAAUCUGAACUUUCGCUGAACAAUUCCACAGAGAUCAAACCGAAGUGACAAUUGAGUGAAAAUUCAGAGGUAACAAAGAGAUCAAAGAAGAUAAUUACCGAUGAAAACGAGACGUUUGUCAGGUUUAGAGGCACAUUUCAUGCGGCGAAGAAGCUCAGACAUGAGAUCAACGGUCUGAAUGUCUUCCAUAUCAACAGAAGCGGUACUGCUCGUGGCCAUGUUCGUCGUCGUCGACUCGUCUCUUACAGAGAAUUAGAUUUGGUCUGGUGGUGGGUUCUGUUUUUGAAGUGCGUGUAUAGGAGGAUUCGAUGCUUCCAAUGUUUUCUUUCGCUUUUUGACGAUUUUACCCUUUACUGUGGCAACAACUACACAGGCCUGCCCCUUGAACAAACCUUCUUGGGUUGGUGGUGACACACCCAACUUUGAAAACGAGUCUUUCUUCUUACACAUCAAUCUACUAGAUUUUAAUCUGCCAUACACGACGACAAGACAAUUUAUUUACUAAAAAUAAUAAUUUUUAAAAUUUAAUAUUUAUAUAUUAAAUAUAAAAAUUUGCAAAUAAUAUCAUUUUAUAAAGAGACAUAUAUAUUUUUAUAGUUUACAAUUACUAUUAAGUAACGGUAUACCACGAGAUAAUUUCUGUUUUAUACAAUUUUAUUUAAAUCAGACUGAUUCUAUUUGAAGCGGCGAGUUAAUGAUAUUUUAAAUUUUUUAUUAAUGUUAAUUCAAAUCUGUCCCGCAAUAACCCAUCCCGCAAUAUAAUCCGUCCCGUGUUAUUUUUUUAAUAUGUUCAAAUUUUUAUAAUAUUAUAAAUUUUUAUUGAUUUUAAUCCGUUCCGUAUUGAAGCGGCGGAUUAAUGAUAUUUUAAAUUUUUAUUAAUGUUGAUUCAAAACUCGUUCCGCCAGGCCACCAUAAAAUCCUGUUCUGUAAUAUAAUUCGUCCCAUGUUACUUUUUAUUUUUAUAUGUUCAAAUUUUCAUAAUAUUAUAAACUUUCUAUUGCUUUCAAAUAUAUCAAUUAUAAUAUUUCUGGCAAAAUGAAACAUUUUAACUAAAAACCGAAUUAAUCCGUAUACAAACUUUUAAAUUUGGAUGCUUGUUAAGUUAAGAAUCGUGCUCAUUUGAAUUUGGAUUUAUUUUGAUCUUAUUUAUAAUAUGACUAUGAAUCAUUGUCUAAACAUUUUAGCCGAUAUGGGACAUUGAACACGCACUUUUUCAUUAAUUGGGUAAUAUAUGUCUCUUUUUAAAAUUUCGAAUCACAAUAUAUGCAGAAAAAAAGGUGAGAUUUUUUUAAACUUUAUGUAUUAUAUGAUCAUUCAAAAUAGUUAAAAAAAUAAUCAAACAAAAAUGAAAAGAGAAUCAUAGAUUUAAAUCAUAACCAAAUCUUCUAAAUGUCUUUAUUAUUAAAUAUAAAAACGUAAUUAGUGAAUGUGAUCUAAUUUUGGUAAUAUUUGUAUCCGACUUUUAGGCAAAUACCAGUGCAAGAGUUGAGUUAAAUAUAACCCGAUCCAACCAAAUUUUUAUGAAAGAAAUAUUUUAUCGGGUCGGAUACCAUUUGUGUCCGAAAAUAAUUUAAUCCACCCGCUAAAAAUAUACUUCAAAAAUACUAGUAUAGAUAUCGCACAUUUUCAUAAUUACAUAAAAUCAAUAUUAUAUAAUUAAUUCCAACAAACCAUUUUGUUUUAGGUCAAGUCAACAAAAAAAAACAGACUGACAAAAUGUUAUUAUUGGAACCAUACCGCACUGUGCUACUAAUUAUGGAUACAAUCAUCUCUGGUAUGUGUCAUUGGAUACAUUCACUCAUUGAGGCGGUUGACGACGAGGUUGACGAUGUAGUUCCCGGGGAUGCUUCCGAGGCGGUUGGCAAUGCUGUUGGCAAGACGGUUGAUGAUUUUGUUCUCCAUCUCUUUCCCAUGGAUAUAUCCAGUGCCCAAGCUUUAUGAGUCACGAAUAUAUACGUGGCGUAAUGGGCGUAUUGGGUAUGAAGCAUUCUUUCAUAAGCGUAUUAGAUUAGCUAGGAAGAUUCUUAAUGCUAUCAAGGGAUAUGGAAAAAAUAUGUUGGAUCUUUGUCCAACUUUGGAAACCAGUGGUGAGCUCUGUGAGUUGCAUGAAUUGAUAUCUAUCUAGAUGCUUGAUGCACACUUUGAUGGGUGUAUUGUUGUUUUCUCUAUACUUGUCUCCAUGAAAGCGUCCAUUAACUCUCUCAAUUGAUCAAACCAUCUUCCCGCAUAAAGCUACAUUGUGGCAUCUAAAUGUACCUACGAUGCACAAUCAAGUUUUGAUCAAUACUGAUUUGUUUAAAUUAGACUAUAAAAUACUCAAAGGAACGAAAUUCAUUAGUGAUCCUAGGAUGAUAUAGAGAUUAGCAAAACAUUGGACCUUUUUCAUACUGAAAAGUUGCUCUUUUCAUGACUAAAUCAAGCAUAAAUGAUUAGGAGCAGAGAAAAUGGAGAGAAAGAGAGAAACCAUUGUGGGGAAUACGAAACGCGAGAACAGAGAAGGAAGUAGUCGCAGUGAUUUAAGCCAUAAAAUUUGUCUGUAUCUUUUCUAAGUGCAAAAUGAUGUUAGAGAAUGGCUUAGUAGGUUUUGGUUCGGGGAGAUGUGGACUUUUUGUCACUAGUGUUUUUGUGCAAACAUUGUAUAUUUCAAAAUUUGAGGAUAUUAUUUUCAAGUUUUAUAUCUAAUAAAGAUUGUUAACUAUUAAAUUUUACUGACCGAAUUUUUUUCUCAAAAUUACAUCAUUCAUUCCAACGUUGAACUUUUUAUGAAUAUAUAUAUUGUGACUAUAUUUGGUUAAUCACAAAAUUGAUAAGAUUAUAUUAUUGUUGGAUUAUUUUUCACGUAUAUUUUUAAUAAAUAGGUAUAUCGGAAAUAUAGUGGAAUAUAAAAAUACCUCAAUAAUUGUUAGUAGAAUGAACUGAACUGGAUAACAUUUUUGUAGACAAAUUAUAAAACGCCGAAAACUAGUUUUAGUAGAUUAAUCACGUUUUGUUUUUUUUUUCCAGUUAUAUUUUUUAACACUACUAGUAUAUAGCGGAAUCGAUAUUUUGAAUGGUAAAAAAAACAAAAUCAAGUUUUCAAAACAUUAAUAAGUAGUCCCUAUAAAAUUCAUAUGCAUUUUAAACAAAGAAUCUGUUAUAUAGCCGAUAACACGCUAUUUUAAGUGAUACCACCAUGUCGGUUAAACUAGAUUUUGAAACAAAUAAUCUCUUUAUUCUCGUAUGUAAUCCAUCCAUUUUAAAACAAAUAAUCUGUUGCAAUUAAGUCUCUUGCAUUUAAAAUAUUCAAAUUGUUUAUAUACCAAAGAAAAAAAAAUGAAAUGUAGAAGGAGGAAAAAUUCUAUAAAUUAAAAAUAGGCCCUCUUCUUCUAUAAAUAGAUAAUUUAAAAAGUGAAUAGAAAAAUGGAUGGAUUCAAUACGAGAAUAAAGAGGUGAUGUCACAAUGAGCGAGCGGAUCUAGUUAUCGUCAAAAUCAUCAGAGAGUACAUCUGCCACGUCAGCUUGAUUGGGAUACUAUUUGGUCGCCCGUACUCAAGUCAACCUCGGCGGAGCGAUUAUGUCAGGUAAAGCUAACGCCGAUCGCCGAUCUCUUCUUCUUCGCCUGAUUCAACAUCUCCGGUCACCUUUCCCUGAUUGUUACAUUUGAUAGGAUCUUCUCCGAGCUUGUGGCUGGCACCGAAUCCGAGCAAAAGAUGGGGAGAGCUCUUCUUCCUCUUCUACACUCCUUUUUGGCUCACUCUCUGUUUGGGUAUCGUUGUUCCUUACAAGCUCUACGAGGUGAGACAGAGUUGUUCUUGAAGUAGCUAUUCACUUUAUCUGCUAAAUUAGAUCAAUAAAGUUUUUAUGAAAUGAUGUCUCAUUGUUGACUAUGUCAGUGUGUUUUUUAGAGAUCUGAAGAUUUUAAUGUUGUCUUUUAGUGGUAUUCAUGGAGUACUAAUUACUUUGAACAACUUGUAGACAUUCACGGAGUUGGAGUAUCUGCUUCUAGCUUUGGUUUCAGCUGUUCCUGCUUUCGUUAUACCAAUGUUACUCGUUGGAAAGGUUAUCUACUUAACACCUUUUAUUCAUUGGUUCUUUGUUGAUCUUUUCUCGUUAUCGCUAUUAUACAACAUUUUAGUGUUCUCUUCAUCUUUAUUGUCCCUUUUACCUUGGGACAGUGAAGAUUGAAGAUAUCGAAACAGUGUAUUCGACUUACCUCUAUACCUCUUUCAAGGAGAUCUUAGUGUGUUAUUUGCUAGUAUAGAAGCUGUUUUGACUCUGUUACUUGUUGACAACUUUUUGCUUUCACUGUGAACUAACAUAUGGCCAUAAUUAUCAACUUGCUUCCAAUUGAAAGCAAACCUCUAUUGUCUUCCUUAACAUAUUAUGGACUCAAAAUAUAUGCAUUUUUAUUUCAGGCUGACACAAGUUUAUGUUGGAAGGACCGCUAUUGGGUUAAGGCAAGCUUUUUUCUUCUGUGCAUGAUAUUUUGGCUUCUCAGUUCUAGCUUCAAACUAUUUCUAGAACUUGCUUUACUUGUUUUAACUUUCUUAAGGGUAGUGUGAGAAUUCUCAAAAUCUUUGAACAUGUUUUUACCACAGGCAAAUCUCUGGAUAAUUAUGUUCAGCUAUGUGGGAAACUAUUUUUGGACUCACUAUUUCUUUAAAGUUCUUGGAGCAUCCUAUACUUUUCCAUCGUGGAAAAUGAAUAAUGUAAGCACAACAAAUUCAGUGGUAACCUUGCUAUCCGUGUUCUGUUGAGUAUUUUGCUUGUUUCUAUGAGCUUAUGGCAGUUUUUUUUUUGUGUUGAACAGGUGCCUCACACAACAUUCUUCCUAACACAUGUUUGCUUCCUCUUUUACCACGUUGCAUCGAACAUUACACUUCGAAGGCUGCGACAUUCCACUGCUGAUUUACCAGAUUCUCUGAAAUGGUGUUUUGAGGCUGCAUGGAUACUGGCGCUUUCUUAUUUCAUUGCAUACUUGGAGACUAUUGCUAUUGCAAAUGUAUGCUGUCAUGUCUUCAUUUCUUUGAUAGUUCCUCUUGUAGUCUGCUUAUAGGCUAUGGUUAGCUACUUAAUCAUUCAGAAUCUUGUUUGGAAACUAAUCACUACAUAUGUUCUGUCUUGUUUUCAACACGUGCAGUUUCCUUACUACGAGUUUGUAGACCGAAGUGCCAUGUACAGAGUUGGGUGUUUGUUCUAUGCCAUUUACUUCAUAGUGAGCUUUCCAAUGUUCUUCAGGUAAAGAACCUCAACGUUUUCUAUAUUACGAGUUUCCUGACCUCAUCUCAUAAUAGCGGUUAAUCUUUCCAGCAUCAUAACUAUUGCAUAUCAAAACUGAGAUUCUUAAAAAUAGGAAUUAGAGGCUAGGCUUAUAUAAAGAACCAUGAUCCCAUGUUUUUCUCAAGUGCCUUGAAGAGUUCUUGGUACCAUUGCGCCAUCUCUGUGAAAUGUUUUCAUCUCUCGACUUCUUAUUGGCAUUUGUUUAUCUUUACUGUUUUCUUCUUAAUGUUUUCAACAUUUCUUUCAUACAUAUGUUUCUGUUUUCAUUUCUUUUUUAUAUGUUUUUUUUAUUCAUCGGUGGGGGUUUGAAGGAUGGAUGAGAAAUCAAGUGAUGGAUGGGAUUUAUCUCGAGUGGCUGUUGAUGCUUUGGGUGCUGCUAUGUUGGUAACAAUAAUUCUUGAUCUAUGGCGUCUCUUCUUGGGACCUAUAGUUCCCUUACCGGAGGGACAAAACUGCCUUCAGUCUGGAUUACCAUGGUUCUCCAACUGAAAAUUGAAAGAUCUGUUACUUCCAACAAUUCAGGGAAAUGACAUUGAACUGAAAGAAAAACCUGCAAAAGAGUUUCCAUUAACACUUUACGGAAUUGUGAAGCAGUUAAUGCGAUUUUGGGCAUGUUCCUGAGGUUCUUCUUCUCCCAGAUGACUGCUGAUUUGUUGUUGUUUCUAUUUUGUUUUCAGUUCCUCUUUUAUCAACUUUCGAAUGAAACCUUUUAAGUUAUCAUUUAUAGAACAGAAUGGAAGUUUUUUUGGUUGUGCAAUAAACCUUAUUAUCAUUGCAGGAUCAACAUUACAUAUGGUCAUGUGCGUAUCUCAAACCAUCCAUGAUUCCUCGAACAAGUACACGUUCUCUGUUCUUUGUCCUUACACCGUUCCCAGUUCAAUAAUGGGAGAUAGAACAAAUUAAGAAGGAAUCUCUAACAGUACAAAGACUCAUUGCAAAUCACAUUAAAACUAUGACAUCUGUGGAGAUACAAAUCUGAAAAUGAUAUAAUGCAAGAUCAAAGUCUCAUUCAAAUAAGAUAACCCUGUUUCAAGAUACAACAACAAUUAUGUUAUAGGAGCAUCCUAUAACUUUCAAAGCAUCCUAUAACUUUCAAAUAUAAAAACAAAAAAGUAAAGAUUAAAAAAACUCACUGGAUCAGCAUCAUACUGAUACUAAUUCAGAUUUAUUGUAGUUUCUUGAAUAAACAUCUAGAAAGAAAAAAAGGAAAAACAAAACAGGGUUUCUUAAGAAAAUUGAUCUCUACCAUUUCACUUUGUCACUUUCCAUUUCCUCCUCUGGUUUCUUGACCACAGUUUCAAGCUUCUUCUUUGCUUCAUCAUCAAUUCCAACAUUGUUCAUAGCUUGCACUACCUCAUUAGCCUCUUCCUCUGGUUUCUUGAUGACCACAUUCUCCGAUUCUUUCAUCUCCUCCUUAGUGACAAUCUUGAGCAGCUCUUGUGGCAAAGCUGCUGGAUCAAGCUCCAAGCAACCUUCAGGAGCAUUCUCACCAUCUUGACUUGUAAGAAAAUGAGAAGGUACCUGAUGCGAGAACCUGAACAGUUCGUUCCUUGGGAAUGUCCUCUGUUUUGGAAGGCGUCGAAAGACAGUUAUGAAUCCUGGGACUUGAACUAAUGGCACAACGGUCACACCUCCCUCUUCACUGAAAUCUUGAAGAACUUCUACCAUUUCAUACUUGUUCUUUUCUUCUACUGAAGUUGAAAUAUCCCAAGAUGGUGACCAAUUUUCAUAAAGAGCCCAAACAUUGCCUUUUCUCGGAUAUAUGUGCACCAAUCCUUUCUCACAUAUCGUCCAAUGUACUCUAUGUGAGAAUGAGUUGAGAGAGUCGUUGCUGCUACGUUUCUAGAUUGAGAAGCAUCCACUCGUCUUGUAAUACCCUGAAUCAAUCCACUUCUUCAUUGAACCCACAUAUCCAUUUUUCUUUCCAUCAAGCCAAGAAAUACACGUCUUGAACGGUUCUUGAGAAACAACCUUAUGGACCAAUGCAUACCACCGAGGCAUUCCGUAAUCAUCAUAAGCAGCCCAUACUUGGUUUUCUCCGAAAGAAGCUUCGACCCGAUCCUUUUCGAAGUUGUAGAAAUCAGCAUCUGGAACACUCAUAGCCAUUACAUCAUAUUCCUCCUCCAUAAUCACAUCGUUAGUGUUCUUGCUUUCGCACUUUACUCUUUUGGCUGCAUUGCUUUUCUUCGAGUCUUGAGGGACUUUUGUUGCAGAACCAACGUUAUUUUGCGGAGAUGCAGAGUCUAACCUUUCAAGAAACAGUUCGAUGAUACACUGACCCGUUUUCAUCAUAGUACUUCGAAUCAUACUUGGAGUAAGCUCCAUGCUGUCACGUCUGAUCCCUGCGUCUUCGCUGAUUCUUCUUAACUGAGGAACAUGAAGCAGGUUUGUUGAUGGAGGUCCCUUUCUUUUGCUUUCUCCUCCACUAGUUCUUCUUGGUUUACAGGACCAGAAACUCUCAAUGGAGGUUGUUCAACCUUAACUUCAGCUUCUGGUUCAACCUUAACUUCAGCUUUUGUAACGCAAGGACUCAUGAAGAUCAUCAUACCUCUGGAUUGAGAAUCAGGAUGGACAACUUCAGAUUCUUUUUCGUCAGAUUAGUUCUUUUCGAAUUCAACGUGAAAGUAAAAAAUCUCAAGAGAUCAAAUUUUAAAACAUCAAAGUCAAAACCAUAGAAUGAUGAACAUAGGGAAAGGAUGAACACUUAUUAUGAAUUAUAUUGCCAAUUAUGUAACCUGAAUUUAAAAAUGUAUUCAGUCAAAGUUUUCAUUGCUCAUUCAAAUUAUUUCCACAUUAAUUGAUUGUAGUAAAAAAAAAAGGUAAAAGGAAAAUGAAUUCCUGUGUGAGAAGUGUGGACCAUUUUCAUAUAAAGGAAGAUUUAUUACUUCUUCUAAACAGUAAAAAGAUUCUUUUCUAUUUUUUAUUUUAUUUUGUCGUUCAUCGGAGACAUACAAACCCGGAGAUCGAAAGGAAGUUCCUGGAGUCAAAAGCCCAAGAGAAAAUAAAUAUUCCCAAAAACAACCCUAUGAAAGGGCGGCCCAUCUCUAGGGGAAGGCAACAUAGGCAAUUGUUAUGGGUCCAAAAUCAAUUUCAAAAAAUUUUCUAAAGUAAAAAGGCCCAAUCUUUAGAAUUUUUUUCUUUAUUAAAAGACUUUCAUAUUUUUUAGGUUUUGCUGAAGGUUCUCCUACAGAUUGAGACGGGACCCAAAGUGUUGUAAAAGGUUAGUUGUAACUCCGGGAUGUAACGAGUGUGAAUUUGGAAAAUGAUUGAAUCGCGCACGUGAGCACUUUCCUUAAAGAGUAUUUCGACCCUUCUCAAGCCUUGGGUUACACGAAAUCCCUUGUAGGAUAAGACAAUCAAAGUUCUCUCUUGUUCUAGGCUGAGAUACAAGAGAAACAAAUAGAGAUUUGUGUUUUGUUUAUGUGUUUAUCACCAAAGAUUCUUUUAAUCUUUGAUCUUGUGAAACUCUUGUGCUCUGUCCUUCUAUGUCUCUAUUGACACAAGAGAAACAGAGUUUUAUAGUGAUCAACGGUGUUCACAUACGUUUGCAACCGUACGUUUAAUAUAAUAACCGUUUGUACAAAAAGGUGCGAUGGUUGGUGAAUAACCGUCGAUGUACGUACACUAACUGUCGAUGUACGUACACUUAAAUAUCCAACAUUCGUGAAUAACCGACGAUGUACGUACACUUAAAUAUCACGUACACUUAAAUAUCCAACAUUCCUCCCCCAUUUAAGUGUAAUCUUUGAUUCACAAAAUUAACAACACGUAAACCAAACUCAUGCAUAAAUGUAAAUAUCGUAACGAUUGAAUUUACAUCUUAGUGAUAUUACACAUUCCAAAUGCUCGAGAAUCAGGAUGUCCUACGGAUUGAAUCGUUCAACUCAUUUUGAGCACAUGAAGAUAAUACACACACGAAUUAACUCACUACUCUAAGUGUUUAUCCUUGACACUAUUAUAAGCCAUGUGUCCUUAUCCAUUCAUGAGCGUAUACAAAGCCAAGUCCGAGCUUCUUGAAGCGGCUACACUUCACACCCAUAUAGGUAGAUCUUUUAAUCUUGCACCUGCAAAAUGCAAUUUUUCAAAAGAUCUAUUAAGAAGAAAACUUCAACCUAACCUUUUCUUGCAGAUCUAAGCACUUACUUUGGGAUGAUAUAAACUAGUGCUUCAAUCUCUAAGUGUGGGCUUUCCGCAUUGAAUUCAGCUUCUAACGUUGUAUUAGAGGGGAAUUGGGUAUCCCACCAUUAGAGAUUUCAAAUGGACUUUAAUCCCAUCCCUUUAGCCGACUUGAUCACCAAGUCUCUAGCUAGUCCUUUUGUCAAGUGAUCCGCUAGAUUUUGCUCUGACCGAAUAAAUCCUAUAGUAAUCACCCCAUGAGUGAUCUGCUCACGUAUCCCGCUAUGUCUCAAGCCUAGGUGUCGCGACUUACUGUUAUACACUUGGCUAUAAGCUUUAGCCAAAGUAGCUUUACUAUCGUAAUAGAUAGAAAUGGGUGACACCGGUUUCGGCCACAAUGGAAUCUCGGAGACUAGAUGUCUUAACCAUUCCGCCUCUCUCCCUGCAGCUGCUAACGCUACAAAUUCCGAUUCCAUAGUAGAAUUUGUAAUACAAGUUUGUUUCUUUGAUGCCCAUGAAAUGGCACCUCCCCCAAGUAGAAACACCCAACCACUUGUAGAAGAAUGAUUUUCCUCGUUGGUGUUCCAACUUGCAUCCGAAUAUCCUUCUAAGACCGAAGGAAAUCCAAAAUAUGACAAACCAUAAUUUAUGGUUCCUUUCAAGUACUUGAGCACCCGCCUUACAGCUUGCCAAUGAUGAGUACUAGGAUUACUAGUGUAUCUACUCAACUUUCCUACCGCAUAAGCUAUAUCCGGUCUAGUGCAAGUCAUGGCAUACAUUAAGCAACCAAUUACUCGUGAGUACUCGAGUUGUGAUACCGCUUGUCCCGUAUUAGGCAUAAGCUUCACACUCGCAUCCAUGGGAGUGCUCACGGGAGAACAAUUUUCAUAAUUGAACUUUUUAAGCACCUUCUCAAUGUAAUGUGAUUGAGUUAAAGAUAUUCCUUUGUUCUCACGCUUGAUUCGAAUUCCAAGAAUCACCUCCGCCUCCCCCAUGUCUUUCAUGGCAAAAUUUGAUGAUAAGAACUCCUUUGUACGUUCUACUUGUCUAAGGUUGGUACCAAAGAUCAACAUGUCAUCAACAUAUAAACAAAUGAUUACUCCAUUACUGGAAUCAUCAAAUUUGCUAUACAAACACUUGUCCGACUAAUUUAAUUUAAACCCAUUUGACAAGACAGCCUCGUCAAACCUUUGAUGCCACUGUUUAGAUGCUUGCUUUAGACCAUAUAAUGACUUUACCAACUUACACACCUUAUGUUCAUUACCAGGCAUAACAAACCCUUCGGGUUGUUUCAUAUACACCUCUUCUUCCAAGACGCCAUUUAAGAAUGCCGUCUUGACAUCCAUUUGGUGGAUCACAAGGUUAUGAAUGGAUGCCAAACCAAUUAAUAACCUUAUAGAGGAGAUCCUAACAACCGGAGCAUAUGUAUCAAAAUAAUCAAUGCCUUCCUUUUGUCUAAAACCUUGAACAACCAACCAAGCCUUAAAUUUAUCUAUCGUUCCAUCGACUUUCAUCUUCUUCUUGAAGAUCCAUUUGCAUCCUAAAGGCUUGCAAUCGGGUGGAAGAUCCGUUAAGAACCACGUAUUACUUCCCAUGAUGGAAUCCAUUUCAUCAUUUACGGCUUCUUUCCAAAAAAUAACGUCAUUAGACUUCAUAGCCUCACUAAAAGUUCUAGGUUCAUCAUCAAUAUGAUGACAAUAUGAGUAUUGGAAACCAAUCUCAUCUCUUGACCCUUCAACUAAGUAAAGUUGAAAAUCGAGACCGAAAGAUUUUUUGAUUCUCCCUCGUUUACUUUUACGAAGCGUAGGUGACUUGUUAGGAGGAACGAAUGUUUCGUCUCCUUCCUUUGUUCCACUUGAACUAGGAACUAAAUCCUUUGGUCUAGGUAUUGACGAGAAACGAUUCUCAUCAAAUAUUGCAUCUCUUGACUCAAUUACGGUGUGAACCGCUAUAGAAUCAUUAGGUUCUAUGACAUAAAACCUAUAUGCCUUGGAAUGCAAGGCAUAACCUAUAAAGAUGCAAUCAAUACCUCUUUCUCCCAAAGUCUUAAUCUUUGGUUGGGGUAAUCUAACGAUCGCCCUACAGCCCCAAACUCGAAGAUAGUUCAAGUUUGGUUUCUUUUUGUACCAAAGUUCAUAUGGGGUAACCUUGUUCCUUUUGUUGGGAACUCUAUUUAAUAAAUAACAAGCCGUUACCAUGGCUUGACCCCAAAAUCCGUCACUUAAUCCCGAGUAAGAUAACAUGGAAUUAACCAUUUCUUUCAGAACUCUAUUUUUCCUCUCGGAUACACCAUUUUGUUGUGGCGUAUACGGAGCCGUAGUCUCAUGUAUUAUGCCCAUGGAUUUAAAAUACAUAGGAUCAUAAUAUUCUCCACCUCUAUCGGUGCGCAACUUCUUAACCAAGUCACUAUGUUGUAAUUCAACCUCGGUUUUAUAAACCUUGAAUUUUUCUAAGGCCUCAUCUUUAGCAUGCAAUAAAUACACAUAACAAAACCUAGAAUAAUCAUCAAUGAACGUGAUGAAAUAUUUCUUGUUUCCUAAAGAUGGUGUAGCAUGUAAGUCACAUAAAUCACUAUGAAUAAGUUCAAGCACCUUUGAAUUUCUUUCAAUGCUUUUAAAAGGUUGUCUAAUUAUCUUAGUCAACAUGCAUGUUCUACACUUCUCUAUAUUCACGUCAAAAGUAGGAAUUAAUCCUUCUUUAGACAUAUCAAUCAUUCUUUUAUAAUGCACGUGGCCUAAUCUUGCAUGCCAUAAAGAAGUAUCAUUUUUGCUAGAACAUGCCAUGUAAAUAGAAUUGACAACUUUAUUAAUAUUAAGCAUAAACAUGCCAUUACAAAAAUAUCCAAAUCCAACAAAGACACCACACUUAGAUAAGACAUACUUAUCCGACUCAAACACUUGUUUAAAUCCACACUUAUUUAAAACACUACCGGAGACUAAGUUUUUCCUAAUUCCGGGUACAUGAAUUACAUCAUCAAGAUCAAGAGUAUUCCCGGAACUAAAUUCUAACACCACUUUGCCAUGACCUAGGAUAGGAGCGGUUGACUCGUUGCCCAUAUAAAGUACGGAUCCAUCUUGAACCGGCUCGUACGUCUUGAACCAGCCACGGUCCUUGCAAACAUGUAUUGUUGCACCCGAGUCAAUCCACCAUGCCACCUCAUCAUCCUGCACAUAAAAUGCCUCAGCUAUUUUUGAUACAUAAUACACUUUUGAGUGUAAAUCAAAAACAGAAUUCUGACCUUGAUGAGAGGAUGGGCCUUGAUCCUUAGACCCUUGCCCAAAACGUUUUUGUUGUGUUUUGUUCUUAUCCUUUGCUGCCCGACAAUCACGUUUGAAGUGACCCGGCUUGUUACAAAUCCAACAAACGCUCUUGAAUCGUUUGUUAGAUCCAUCAUUGGUGUUGUUAGUAAAGGGAUGUUUCUUCCCCUUGUUCUUCAUCUUAGAACUCCCACUUUCCUCCAUCAUAUUGAUUGAAGAAGUUUCAGCCUCCUUAUCUUUGGGUUUUCCACCCUCUUGCACCCUUAGAGAUUCCUCUAUGCGCAAAUGGCUACCAAGUUGUACAAGAGACAACUCUUCCUUUUUGUGUUUUAACAUGCGCCUAAAAUCUUUCCAUGAAGGCGGCAACUUGUCGAUGAUGCACGACACCGAGAUGGAUUCAUCCAUGUUCAUGUUGUGUUGAGCGAAUUAGCCUAGGAUGCGAAGUAAUUCAUUGUAUUGCUCCAUUACCGGCCUUGAAUCGGACAUCUUGUAAUUAUUAAAAUCACUCACAAGGAACUUCUUACUAGAAGCAUCCUCGGCCAUGUACUUCGAUUCCAACGCAUCCCAUAGUUCCUUUGCGGAUUCGACAUUUUGGUAAACAUCAAAGAGAGAAUCAGACAUACCGUUGAGAAUGUGGCCACGACAUAUGUAGUCAUCGUUUUUCCACUUAAGUUGCUUCCUUGUCUCCUCCACGGACUCGUUCUCACCAUUCUCCGACACGGUGGUUAUUGGCACACUUAGAACGUGCACCACAUUGAGCGUUGUGAGGAGAAAGUGCAUCUUCUUUUGCCAUCUUCUAAAAUCUACUCCUUCAAACUUAUCCAAUUUUCCAAACUUUGAUGUCAUCUCACGCACAGAAACAUUAGCCAUUGUUCACCAAAAUACUCUUUAAGAUUGUUGUAAAAGGUUAGUUGUAACUCCGGGAUGUAACGAGUGUGAACUUGGAAAAUGAUUGAAUCGCGCACGUGAGCACUUUCCUUAAAGAGUAUUUCGACCCUUCUCAAGCCUUGGGUUACACGAAAUCCCUUGUAGGAUAAGACAAUCAAAGUUUUCUCUUGUUCUAGGCUGAGCUACAGGAGAAACAAAUAGAGAUUUGUGUUUUGUUUAUGUGUUUAUCACCAAAGAUUCUUUCAAUCUUUGAUCUUGUGAAACUCUCGUGCUCUGUCCUUCUAUGUCUCUAUUGACACAAGAGAAACAGAGUUUUAUAGUGAUCAACGGUGUUCACAUACGUUUGCAACCGUACGUUUAAUAUAAUAACCGUUUGUACAAAAAGGUGCGAUGGUUGGUGAAUAACCGUCGAUGUACGUACACUAACUGUCGAUGUACGUACACUUAAAUAUCCAACAUUCGUGAAUAACCGACAAUGUACGUAUACUUAAAUAUCACGUACACUUAAAUAUCCAACAGAAAGGAGACUGUGAAAGUAAGACAACUUAACCCAAAAAGACGAUAGCCAAAAUAAGAAGUUUUUUCUCAUAUCUAUAAAAUUAUCAAGUGUAAACAUUUUGUUUAAAUAAAAUUUUGUUUUAAAUAUCUGGCUCCUACUUGAUUAUUCGAAUAUGUAAUUAUUUAAGAAUCGGGUUAGAUGUUUCACACUUGUUUUCCAUAACUAUUUAAUAUUAUGCCAUUCAACAACAUCAGCUUAACACAGUUGAAACACAUGUUUCUUGUUUACUAAAGAAAAUCUAAAUUUUGAAUUGAUCAAUUUUUUUUGUCAAAAAUCUUCUAUGAUUUCCAUUGGGAGCCAGAGCCCAAGAAGAAGGAUGCUCCACGUUUAAAAUUUAAUCUUGGUAGCGACAAUAUGCUUGGGAUGGAUCGAGUGAAAGAGGUAACAGAUGGUAUGUUAUCAUAGUUUAUGUCAAAGUAUGUGGAUACAUGGUUUCCAUGGUUGUCUAAGAAACUUGGAUUUAUCCAAACUUGAAACCAAGAACAGUUGUUGGUGCCAAUAAGAUAAUACACUGGUCUAAGUGAUAUGUAUAAUUUGUAUGAGAUUUGCUCUCCAAUGUAGCACAACCUGUGUUUUCUUUGGGUAUAUACAUAUUGGAUUUUGGCCCAAGUCUUGUAAGCUAGUAUAUGUGUGAUUAGGAAAAUGGGAGAAAAGAAAUUAUCACUGUUGUCAAAUAAAUUUUGAAAAUGCUAAUCGUUUUAUAAAAGGUAAAAUAACCUCUAAAAUUAAUAUUAACAAAACUUAAAAUUAGAAAUGGAUUAAGUGGAUUGAAUGAUGGAUCAAAAUUCAUCAUGUGUCGCCUUCUUAUGGUAAUGGAACAUUUCAAAUGCCAUUAGAAACCCGACGGAUAUUAUUAAGAAAAUGCCAAGAGUGAGAUGACAACAUCUCUGACCUAUAACUAACAAAUUUCACAAGUCUUCCUCACUUUUUGGAAGGACAAAUUUCGAGAUCCAUCUACCCUACAAAUAAAUAGGGAUGUGAAAUGGGUCUAAUGACCAUGGACUAGCUAGACCAAUCCAAAUUAUAAUGGUCCGGUUAUGGUUACGUCCAAAAUCGAAACGGCUUAUAUAUAUAUAUAUAUUGAAACCAAUUUAAUCCCGUAAACAAAUGAGACGAACUCAUCUGGACAUGAACCUUCCAAUAAGUUUCAAAAUUUAGAGUUUCUUAAUCUCGAGGAAAAAAGUUUUCUUCAUCAUCUCCUUAGGGUUUACUCUAAUUACUUUGUUCCUUUCACCAAAUCCAAAAACUUAGGAUGUAGAUUCUCUCAGUGAUUCUUCUUAGUUCUUAUUCCUCGUCUCCUCGCAUUUUAUAUUUUCCCAAUGAUAGUUUCACGCCAAAACGUGAUUAUGUGUUUUUCCACCAAAACAUGAUUUUGUGUUUCUCGCCAAAAAUAUGAUUUCCCAUUUUCCACCAAAAAUGUGAAAUAUAUUUGCAGUUUUGUGGUUUUACGGAAAAAUGUGAUUUUGUGAUUUAACGGAAACGCAAUUGUUCGAUUUUGACAGAAAAUGUGUUUUUGCUGGGAGGGGAAGGGGAGAAGGGGGAUAUGAUUUCACGGUUUUGGUUGAAAACUGUUUACCGACAAAUCUUUGAAAAUUUAAUUUUAAAAUAAUUUGUGCUAGUGAUGUGUGGUACCAUACAAAUUCAAAGACGUGUAUAAUAUAUGUUACACGUCUUUGAAUUUCUAUGGUACCAAUUUUUCCUUACAAGUAUUUUUAUUUAUUCGCUAAGACAAAAAUUAGAUAUUUGUGGUUGUAAAGUCACCUCAAAUUACUUUUAAAAUGAGAAAAGUUAAUUUAAAACAACACAUUUACUUGCUUUAUCUUUGCAAGUCAUGUUAAAGGUACACCAUUUAUAUUGUUUGGUUUUGAUUGAUUAUUUACUAAAUUUGAUUAGUAAUCACAAAUAAAGGUGUUAACUUAGCUUAGUCCUUGUUUGAAACCGACUUUAUCCCCUCAAGAAACCAGGCUCAAUGAAUAUGGCCGACGGCUUGACAGUCGACACUCUGGUCUGGCUCACGUACGUAGUUGCUUAUGAAUUAUGAUAUAUAGGAUCUGCUCUGUUUUAGCUCUCAAUACUUUGUUUUUCACUUUGAGUUCUGCAGAUACUUCAAACUAAAAGAUGCAUAUUUUGUAAAAAAGGUUAUUGAUUGGAUAAAAUUUUACAUUUUAUAAAAAAAAGAAAGAAUAUAUUUUUUUCUUCCAAUAUCUCACAAAUAAUGUCAUACCCUGAAUCAAUCCACUUCUUCAUUGAACCCACAUAUCCAUUUUUCUUUCCAUCAAGCCAAGAAAUACACGUCUUGAACGGUUCUUGAGAAACAACCUUAUGGACCAAUGCAUACCACCGAGGCAUUCCGUAAUCAUCAUAAGCAGCCCAUACUUGGUUUUCUCCGAAAGAAGCUUCGACCCGAUCCUUUUCGAAGUUGUAGAAAUCAGCAUCUGGAACACUCAUAGCCAUUAAAUCAUAUUCCUCCUCCAUAAUCACAUCGUUAGUGUUCUUGCUUUCGCACUUUACUCUUUUGGCUGCAUUGCUUUUCUUCGAGUCUUGAGGGACUUUUGUUGCAGAACCAACGUUAUUUUGCGGAGAUGCAGAGUCUAACCUUUCAAGAAACAGUUCGAUGAUACACUGACCCGUUUUCAUCAUAGUACUUCGAAUCAUACUUGGAGUAAGCUCCAUGCUGUCACGUCUGAUCCCUGCGUCUUCGCUGAUUCUUCUUAACUGAGGAACAUGAAGCAGGUUUGUUGAUGGAGGUCCCUUUCUUUUGCUUUCUCCUCCACUAGUUCUUCUUGGUUUACAGGACCAGAAACUCUCAAUGGAGGUUGUUCAACCUUAACUUCAGCUUCUGGUUCAACCUUAACUUCAGCUUUUGUAACGCAAGGACUCAUGAAGAUCAUCAUACCUCUGGAUUGAGAAUCAGGAUGGACAACUUCAGAUUCUUUUUCGUCAGAUUAGUUCUUUUCGAAUUCAACGUGAAAGUAAAAAAUCUCAAGAGAUCAAAUUUUAAAACAUCAAAGUCAAAACCAUAGAAUGAACAUAGGGAAAGGAUGAACACUUAUUAUGAAUUAUAUUGCCAAUUAUGUAACCUGAAUUUAAAAAUGUAUUCAGUCAAAGUUUUCAUUGCUCAUUCAAAUUAUUUCCACAUUAAUUGAUUGUAGUAAAAAAAAAGGUAAAAGGAAAAUGAAUUCUUGUGUGAGAAGUGUGGACCAUUUUCAUAUAAAGGAAGAUUUAUUACUUCUUCUAAACAGUAAAAAUAUUAUUUUUUAUAUUUUUUUUUGUCGUAUGUAGUUAAUAUUAAACAACGGAGACAUACAAAGCCGGAGAACGAAAGGAAGUUCCCAGAGUCAAAAGCCCAGCGGAAAAUAAAUAUUUCUGAAAGACAAGCCUUAUGAAAGGGCGGCCCAUCUCUAGGGGUAGGCAACAUAGGCAUUUGUUAUGGGUCAUGUGUUGCCUUCUUAUGGUAAGGGAACAUUUCAAAUGCCGUUAGAAACCCGACGGAUAUUAUUAAGAAAAUGCCAAGAGUGAGAUGGCAACAUCUCUGACCUAACUAACAAAUUUCACAAGUCUUCCACACUUUUUGGAAGGACAAAUUUCAAGAUCCAUCUACCCUACAAACAAAUAGGGAUGUCAAAUGGGUGUAAUGACCAUGGACUAGCUAGACCAUCCAAAUUAUAAUGGUCCGGUUAUGGUUACGUCCAAAAUUGAAACGGCUUAUAUAUAUAUAUAUAUAUAUAUAUAUAUAUAUAUAUAUUUGAAACCAAUUUAACCCCGCAAACAAAUGAGACGAACUCAUCAUCUGGACAUUAACCAUCUAAUAAGUUUCAAAAUUUAGGGGUUUUUUAAUCUCGAGGAAAAAAGUUUUCUUCAUCAUCUCCUUAAAAUCUAGGGUUUAGUCUAAUUACUUUGUUCCUUUCACCAAAUCCAAAAACUUAGGAUGUAGAUUCUCUUAGUGAUUCUUCUUAGUUCUUAUUCCUCGUCUCCUCGCAUUUUAUUUUUAUUUUCCCAAUGAUAGUUUCACGCCAAAACGUGAUUCUGUGUUUUUUCGCCAAAACAUGAUUUUGUGUUUCUCGCCAAAAAUAUGAUUUCCCAUUUUCCGCCAAAAAUGUGAAUCCUAUUUCUCGCCAAAAACGCAGUUUUGUGGUUUUACGGAAAAAUGUGAUUUUGCGAUUUAACGGAAACGCAAUUGUUCGAUUUUGACAGAAAUUGUGUUUUUGCUGGUUUGGGGGGAGGGGAGAAGGGGGAUAUGAUUUCACGGUUUUGGUUGAAAACUGUUUACCGACAAAUCUUUGACAAAUUAUUUUUAAAAUAAUUUGUGCUAGUGAUGUGUGGUACCAUACAAAUUCAAAGACGUGUAUAAUAUAUGUUACACGUCUUUGAAUUUCUAUGGUACCAAUUUUUCCUUUACAAGUAUUUUUAUUUAUUCGCUAAGACAAAAAUUAGAUAUUUGUGGUUGUAAAGUCACCUCAAAUUACUUUUAAAAUGAGAAAAGUUAAUUUAAAACAACACAUUUACUUGCUUUAUCUUUGCAAGUCAUGUUAAAGGUACACCAUUUACAUUGUUUGGUUUUGAUUGAUUAUUUACUAAAUUUGAUUAGUAAUCGCAAAUAAAGGUGUUAACUUAGCUUAGUCCUUGUCUAUAAUUAGAAUCAACUAUUUUUAUCAUGUGUUUGGAUCUAUUUACUAUCUCUCAAAACUAUAAGUAAUAAUCUAUAAAUUACGAGAAUAAAUCAAAAUAGAAUUUUCUGCAUACAACAAAACUCUAAUUUAAAAAAAAAAUCAUUUUUAAGAUAUGAGAUCUGCUACACUGUUCAUGUUUGCUUGUGCUAUCAUGUUACUUGUUCUGAGUCAGGUUCAAGGUAAUUUAUCAGCUUGUAUUUAGAAUUGAUUUGUUACUUACGAAUUAGAGCUUUGAUUGUGAUUUGUGAAUAAUAGUACUGAAAUUAAGAAAAUAAAUAAGGAAAAAGGUUACAAACCAUGACUAAUUUAGUUUUAAAUAUGUUGCGUUCCUAAUUGUUUGUUUUAAUAUCGUGUGGUUCAGAGAUGGAGGCUCGAAAGACGAAAGUGUGUGAGAAAACUAGUAUAUGGUCUGAUCGAAUUAAUAGGUGUCACGGUGACAAAAACCAAAAUGAUGUGUGCGUGAAAGCUUUUGCUGACGAUGGAGUAAAAGUUUUCCAAUGCCGUUGUAGUCCUAAUGAAGAACUUAUUUGCUAUUGUCAUACUGCUUGCUAAGUUUACUUAUUUAUCAAUGGAAAACAUAAAUAAUACCUAAUGGUAAAAUAAUAAUAAUAAUAAUAAUAAUAAUAAUAAUACAUAAUGUUUCUUUGCCAGUGAAUUAUAUAUUAUUUUGAACAGAAAUGAAAAAGAAAAAAAAAAACUGGAAAACCAAUAAUUUUUGAAGUGUUCAAAAUUUUACCUAAUGUUGUGGUUCAAUUAUUUAAUAGUACAAUAAGACAAGACAUGGAGAAGUUGUGAAUUCUCCUUCAACCCUGAUCUGAGCUAUUGAUGGAAUAGUUUGAAACCGACUUUAUCCCCUCAAGAAACCAGGCUCAACGAAUAUGGCCAACGGCUUGACAGUCGACACUCUGGUCUGGCUCACGUAUGUAGUUGCUUAUGAAUUAUGAUAGGAUCUGCUCUGUUUUAGCUCUCAAUUCUUUGUUUUUCACUUUGAGUUCUGCAGAUACUUCAAACUAAAAGAUGCAUAUUUUGUAAAAAAGGUUAUUGAUUGGAUAAAAUUUUACAUUUUAUCAAAAAAAAAGAAAGAAAUAUAUGAGUAUAUUUUUUUCUUCCAAUAUCUCACAUACACAUAAACACAUAAAUUGCACCAUCGUCUCACGUGGACGUGGUUGUUUCUUCUUAUUCACACGACAUUUCAUUCUACUAGUAGAAGAAUAUACAUACAUACUUACGAUCGGAGCCAUGUCCACAACGAUAGUUAUUACAAGUUUCCAAAAUGUUUUAUACGUAAUAUUUCUUUAUGAUUUUUUUAAAGACAAAACUUCUAGUUUAGGACGUAAUAAAUAUACAUUCAAGUUUUCAAAAAAACACAAAAGAAAUAAAUAUACAUUCACUCGAGUCAUUGAUUGCUAUUGGUUAACAAUAACAUGGUUCUGUUUAUAAUUCGCUAUAAAAAUGUUUAAUGUAAAAACAUCUUCAUAAUCAUAACCAUAGUUUCUUUCUUUCUGGAAACUAAGUUUGGGAUAUGGUCAUAUCGAGAUUACUCACAUUCAAGUUCUGGUACUUCUACUAUUUCAUCUUUUGAUGAGUUCUCGUCAGCAUCAACAUUGUCAGUGGUACGAGGCCCACUUGUGGAGGCUUCACUCUGCCAAAAGAAUUUCCUUAAAGCCUUCAGCUUCGGGUUCACUGCUGAGAAGUUUGGGUCCGACAACAGGUUUUUCAUUGCGGCCUUUUCCUCGAGGAGACUCACGACCUGCGACAUUUUUGGCCUUAACGCCGGGGACGUGUUAGUGCACAAUAGUGCCACGUUCAAGAUCACCAUUGCUUCCUCUUUUGAGUAGGCUGAAUCUAGCACUGGAUCAACCAAGUCUAGUAAGCAUCCCUUGUCUUGCAAAACGUAGGCCUACACGUGAGGGAGAAGAGAGAAACCAAAUUGACUUUGUUUUUAUCUUCUGAUUAUUGUUGCACUUUAAUCACAGGUUUUAAAGAAGGGUGGAGAGAUGGAAAUUUUUACCUGAUCAAGAAGGCACUCCAAGUUCUCGCUUGGUUUGACGUUUGAGUUACUCUUUCCACUGACAAUUUCAAGGGCAACGACGCCAAAGCUAUAAACAUCAGCUUUUUCAGUCAAAUAACCACGCAUGGCGUAUUCCGGAGCCAUAUAUCCUCUGUAACAUGCAAAUGUAUAUAAGAAUAUCAAGAAAAAUGAUUUACCCUUGAGAACUUUCUACUUGGAAGUUGGAACUCAUUAAUUAGUAAAGAGACGAAUAUACUUACGGUGUUCCGGCGAUACGAGUAUUGAUGUGUGUGUUCUCAUCAUCAUUCAGCUUUGCCAAACCAAAGUCAGAGAUUUUGGCGUUGAGAUCGUCAUCUAGCAACACGUUGCUCGCCUUUAUAUCCCUGUGCACAAUCUUGAUCGCAGAUUCUUCGUGGAGAAAUUUUAGUCCUUUAGCUAUGCCCAAACAAAUCUUCUUCCUCGUUGGCCAUUCUAAUUUCAGUCUGGAUCCUGUGAAAUAAAAUUAUCAACCCGCAUAUAGGGACUUUUAGCAUUCAUGUCACCGGAUAGAUGAUAUACAUGGUUUCUAGUCUUCGGAAAUAGUAAAGGUCAAGAAACAGACCAAAUAGAGCACGAGAAAGACAGUUGUUCUCCAAAUACUCGUAGACCAAUAUCAGUUGCUUCUUCUCCACACAAGAUCCAUAUAGCUUCACAAGAUUUGGAUGUUGUAGAGAUGAGAUCAUGCCUAACUCAUUCACAAACUCCCGGCUUCCUUGAUUGGACUUUGAAGACAAUUUUUUAACCGCAAUCAUCCUCCCCUCUGAUAACACACCCUGCACCAAGAAAAUGAGCCGCUCUAAAUCUCUAAUAUCUCUCAAAAUGUAUGCAGAGUAGAAAAACCAGUGAAAGUUGAGGGAUAACCUUGUAAACAGAGCCAAAUCCACCUUCACCAAUCUUGUUUGCUGCAUCAAAGUUAUUAGUGGCUGCUUUUAUAUGUCGAAGAGUGAAAGUUCCAGUCUGAAGAUCUAAACCCCUAAGCUCUGUAUGGUUAAUACACAAUUCAAAUCAAAGCGUUGGUAGACACAAAGAAGCAACCUAGACAAAAAUACGUAACGAGCUAAACUAUUAAGAGACCUUUGUCCAUUGCAUUUUUGUAACACCUUCUUCUCCACAAGCAAAUGAUCACUGUGAUGAUGGCCAAAAUGAGGAUUACUGCGGCAACUAUAAUUCCUACUAUUAGCAGGAUAUUCUUCUUGUCAUCAUGCUCCGGAGAUUUAAAAUCUGUCAAUAACAAAUGCCAUCAUCUCUAUCCGCUAAUAAUUAAGAUAUCGAUUCAAAGUAAGAUUACUUACUAGGUUCAACUGAUAUAGCUGAGAUCAUUGGGCCAUAAACUCCUCUAAUUGGAAGCGUAGUUGUCCCUUUGCCAGCCCACCUCAAGCUGAUCUUCAGAUUGUGAUUUGUUACAUUUACCACAAAUGUCUUUAUGAUUGGCUUGCCCGAUCCACCAGCAGCUUCUUUAAUGUUGAAGUUUUUAAUCAUCAACUUCUCCUGUGAGCAAGUUAUAGAUAAGUAAGUGUUUAAGUUUUAUGAGUUACAUUUGUUGGGUUCCACAGAGACUUACCUGAACAUAAAUAUCGAAGACUCGUUUGCCAAGACUGUAGAAUGUACUGUCGCUGGUAAAUAUUAUCUCUGCGAAGUGGAGACUCACAGUGUACUCCCCAUUGCCCAGACAGAGUCCGUAGUAAGUCAACAAGAGAGGAGAAAUCCGAGCCGUCUUGUAAAGCACGAAACUUGGAGAAGAAGCAUUGGCUAAUAGUGUAGAGGUGUUAGACACGGUGUAGUCAUCCACUUCUGUAAGAUCAUUCAUGAAGUGUCCGGUGCUACUAAAUGCCCAGUGCUUGUCAGAGCCAUAGACAAAUGUAGUAGGUCGUUGGCCCUCUAUGUUAGCUUCGUAUGUCUUUUCUUUAUCAACUUUUAUUUCAUCUCCCCCACAGUUUAUGUACAGCUUAUAUUUGUCUGCAAUAAAUAUUUUAAAAAUCAUAUAAAAAAAAUUAAUCUACAUGCAUAAGGUUCUCUCAGAGAAAGACAACAAUUAAAGUGUUGUAACUUACACUUUCUUUUAGGCAAAAGGCAAGGCAAGUGUUGGAAGUAACAAGGGUAGCCCUUAUAUCUGAAAAAAAAACAAAAAACAAAUUCAGAGGAAAACAGAAAAAACCAUCAUCAAUCAGUUCACUAAGCAUAGCUAAAAAAACCUAAAGACAAUUAUUUGAGAAACCAAAAAAACAGCCAUAAAGAACAAACAAUCAUGUAUUGGAAUCAUGGUUUCUUACGAUUCGUUCCACAUGGAAAAGCUUUCCACCAAAUUCCUAUAAAUGAAGAAUAACAUUAUCAUUUUCUGAACGUAUGAGCAAAUUGUUUAUGAUUAUAAAUUUAUAAGAGUUAGUUGUGAAAACUUACGCAUUAUUAACUUGGUCACAAUCACCACGAGGAAUUGAACUUUGAAGGGUGAAAUUGUUGGAAGAUAUAUCUCUGCACAUAAAAGUAGAACAAAGAUCAUUUAAAAGGUCUCUCUCUAUAUAGUUGGCACAUUUAAUUUGAAAGUUAGCAAGUUAUAUCUCCAUACAUAUUUUUGUUACUUUCGAUAAAACUGUUCGGAACACCCCCUGUGAACUUGUUUCCUGCCAAGUAACUGAACAGAAAAAUAUUUCAAAAACUAAUCUUCAUAAAUAGAGAAGAAAAAAAGAUUCUAAACUGAAACUUUGUUACCUAGAACGAAGUUAGUACUUACAUAUAAUCUGCUAACUUCAAGUUGGCUAAUGAAGACGGGAUCUUGUCCGUUAAGUGGUUAAAACUGAGGUCACUACAUAACAAACAUAAUCAAUAUAUCGCGAGUUCGGCAAAUAUCCUGUUUAAAAUUUAAUGCUUUUUUCCCUCGAUGUAUCUUGAUUAUUACUUACAGUGUUUUGAGACUCGUCAUAUCUCCAAUAUAUUUAGGAAGUCGUCCGUAUAUGUUGCAUCUCCUCAACUCCCUUCAUCCAAGAUUAAAUGGUGAAUGCAUGUUUUCUAGGAUAUCUUUUAGUGCAUACACAAACGAUAAAUUGUGUUCUAACUCACAAUAUUUUGAGAGACUUCAUAUUCUGCAGUGGAGGAAAGGAAGACGAUUUUCCUCCUAGAUCGCUAAUCUGGCUGUCAAAUACAACAAAAAUAAAGCAACAUUGUUUGAAGAGGAAAUGGAUUGAAAAGAAUUAAUCUUCUAAAGGUGCCAUACAGGUUGACCAAGCUAGUUAGAGCAGAAGUACUGGAAGGUAAUGGACCGUCCAAACCGCUACCAAACAUCUCCCUGCAAAAAUAAUACUUUAGUUCUAUGUCCAUAAGGAAAGCUAGAACCAUAGAAAAAGAAAGUAGUCUUACAAUUCAACCAUCUUUGUCAAGUUUCCUAUAAAAUUUGGUAUUUGUCCAGUAAAUUCAUUGUCACUUAUCCACCUAACACAUAAACAAAUACAAAUAUAUUAAAAGAUAAACUAAUCAAGAAUGGUUUUUUUUUUCAUUUGUUAUCAUAUUGAGCAUCUAUUCUUACAUAUUAGUCAGGUUUUUAAGUUGUCCGAGUUGUUCUGGCAAAUGGGCGGUAAAAGAAUUUGAAGAUAGAAAUCUGCCACAAAUUCAUGUAAAAAAAUAAUACCGACUAGAAAACAUACAAGAUUGAAAAGAAUACGAGAUAAAGAAAUUUACAGUUCUUCCAGAUGAACCAACUUUCCAAUCUCAGGAGGGAUUGGUCCUGAAAAUCGGUUUCCUUCGAGGUUCCUGCAUAAUCCAAAUGCUAAAAAAUUUUAGAAUAUCAAGAACCAUAACUAUCAUUAUGAAGAACAAAUAUUCGCAUCAUCAGAGUUAAAUCACAUUAAAAAUCACUGCUUAACCAAAGUUAUAGAAAGGAUGCAAAAAUUUACAAAGUUCGGAGUGAUGUAAUGCUGGUUAACACUCUUGGAAAUGGGCCAGUUAAUCGGUUCCCCAUAAGUAAUCUGCAUAUGUCCAUUGAACCAAUAAAGACAUCAGUCUAUUGCAUAAUUUUCAUUAAUUACACAACAAUAAAAACGAAGGUAAACCAUCUUACAGCUUUUCCAAACGCAUUGAUGCCCAUUCCUUUGGAAUUGAACCAGUAAGACAAUUACGAGUUAGGAUCCUACAUUAAGUGGUAUGUGUCAUUAAGAAAGUUUUGAGUCAUUACACAAGCCAAGGAUAGUUAGUAACGAGAAUUUUGAGGAAUUGUAGGAAAAUCUAAAGUCCAUUUGUAUUUGUUUUUUAUUACAGAGUUUUGAGAUAACGCAGCUGAGAGAACUCUGGGGGGAUAAUGCCUGUCAAAUUUUGCGACGUCAAAACUCUGCAGAGAAAGAAACAAGAUGGUCUCUGAUACGUAUCAGUAUCAAACAAUUUUCUUUGGAGACAAACUACAUAUAUAAGCAGGAGCUAGCGUUUUGUUUAAUUUUUUGGAUUCUUCUUGAAUAACUUAGCAACCAUGAAAGAGAUUCAUUAUUUUGAUUACUGAUUCUGAAUAUGAUUUAGGUCUUUAAUUAAUUUCUUAAAAGGCGUGGAAGUUCUCGAAAAGAGAUAGACACUUCUUCAAGACUUUUGUCAAUUAUAUUGAGUCGGUUUUUUUCACUUUGGUCAAUGGAUCAAUGAGUAUUUAUUUUCUCUUGUCUCUGUUAAAAUGCAUAUACACAUGUAUGUAUUCCAUUAUAAAACCAAAAACAUAUGUAUGAGUAUCAAUCAUCACUAUUAACAGUGCCAUGCCUAGCAUCUUAAGAGUUUUACAGGUAAACAAAAAAAUAAUGGAGCAUUUUAUAUGUCAUUUUGUUAUGUUAAAAGUGACUUUGUUUUUCUCUCUUUAAUGACGACAUUUCUGUUAAAAAAAAAAUAACGACAUUCAUUGAUUGACUCAUCUUAAAAUGGAGGAAAAUUUAGAAACAUGAUUUUAUGACGUAAUUUUUAUUUUUUAAACCGUUAGCCAAAUGACAAUUUAUAUUAUUAUAUUUAACUAGAAGUAUAUUUUAGAAUUACCUUAGUCAUUCAUUUGAAAUUAUCAAAGAAAUGACUAUAUAGAAGACAGUAAAUGAACAUCAUGGUUUGGACAGCUACACUAGAGACUAGAGAGACUAAACUAAAGAAUCAAAGUUAGACUGUAAUAGAUUUAAAAAUCCAUAAAACGAGGUUUCUUAACACAAAUACGUACAAAUAUUUUACCUAUAGAUUAAAUGAUUUUUUUUUUUUUUUUUUUUUUUUGUUGUAAAUAAUACUUUAACAGCAAAAAAAAUGUCUAUAAAUUAAUUAUAUACUACAUUAAGGGAGUUAAAGAAAAUGUUAUACAACAACUAUGUUAUAGGAGCAUCCUAUAACUUUCAAAGCAUCCUAUAACUACCAAUACCAUUGUAAUAAAGUAGGAAAUGGUGAAAAAAAACUUACAUUGCGAUAACGUGACACGAUGAGUUGGGAGGAUGAAAAGAACAAUCACAAGUGAGAUUGCUAUUUAUAAGUGGAUUAGUGUUUACAAUCCAAUUCCCUUUUCCGCUGCAUGGAUCUUUGCUAAAGUCCCAAUCUUUUUUCUUCAUCUUCUUUCCUAUCUCCUUCAAUGCUCUCACUUGCCAAUUUCAACCAUUAUCAUUAUCAUACACCAAAAUUUGGAUUAUAAUUCACAGUUAAAAUCAAAGAGUGAAAGAGGCCAACAAUAAAAAAUAAUUUGUUAAAAGAGUAGCACCUUCGGCAUCGUGGAGCUUCGUAGUGUUACAAGAUUCAAAAAUCCCACUGAAAAGCAAUGUUGUGAUGAUAACGAAAUACAUAGAAUGGGAUGUAACCAUCUUUCUAAUGUAAAAAUCGAUAAGGAAAGCUAAAGCCAAAGAGCGAAUAAGCUUGACGAAAGCCAAAGCGGAUUUAAAUUAAAUGACCAAAGCCAAAGAGAAAGCAGCGAUGGAGUCGUCUAUCUUCAUUACAGCAUUUAUUAAGGUUUUGUAACUUUUGUUGUAUGGGAUGUAACUAUAUCAUUUAUUUGAACUUUGAAAUCGUUCUAUCAUUUUGUUGUUGCUGCUUACACUAGUAAUGUACUUGAUACUGAGGCUCGCCCACACCAUAUUUAAUAGCCCUGUCCAAUUCGAGAAACUAGACGGAAAAAUAGCAGCUAACGAGUAACGACUAGAGAUGUCAAUGGACUUGAGUAUCAUGGGCUAGACCAGUCCAGUGUGAUUUUGGGAUUUGACGGAAACCAAAUUGUUAGAUUUUCACAGAAAAUGUGUUUUUACGGUUUUUGCGGGAAAAUAUAAUUUCACGGUUUUAGUUGAAAAAUUCAAGUUAAUUGCGGUUUUGGCGAAAAAAUGUGAUUUCUGUUUUGGCGAUAAACAUGAUUUUGCAACUUUCUUACGUAAUUGUGUUCAUGUGUUAUUUAGACACCCCAAACAGCCAAAUUGGUCAUAGUUUAUUUGGGUUGCUCUUAUUUAGACAUGGUCUUAUUAGAGCUUUGACCAUUAAUGUACAGAAAAUCGUAAAUGUCCAGGUCCAUUUAGAUCUGGACAGCCCAUUUGACAAUCCUACGUACAAAGCCUCACUUGCUCCAUGUCCAAAUUGGCAAAUACAACACAUAGAGAUCCACGAGAGAAUUCAACCCUAAUAGUGAUGAUGAUUUACUUCACCCUUUUCGCGAAAAUUUUACUACUUAAUUUUCAUUCAUAGCAUCUAAGAAUUCAUUAAGAUUGCACGAAAAGGCGUCAAAAGGGUAAAUCUGGAUUGGCUUCGGUCCUUGUGUCUAAUCAAAUAAAUUGAAAUUUCAAAUUCUCAACGGUGAAAUUUCUGAGUAAGCCUUCAUCGUGAUACGUGAAGUAGGUAUGGGCUUCAUUCAUAAGAUGACUUUUUUUUCCCUCCAUAAUUAACAAUUAUUUUGAGCCGUAACGCUUUAAUUACUAGAUUAACCCAAAUAAUGAUUUUAAUUACUAAAAUGUCUCAUAAAAUUUGGGUGAUAGAUUGGUUAUUUUCAUGACGAUAAUACCCUUUCUCUCUUUGUUAGAAAAAAAAAAAGUCAAAUUUACCCUUAUAUUUUUUCGAAAAACGUGGGGAAAAAAACUUAGAAUUUUUUUUGGUUUUUUAAAAGUCUGCUGGAUUCGUUAUGAUAGGUUUAUUUUGAAUGGCAGACUUAUUUAUGUACGACAGAUUUUCAGUGACAGAUUUUUUAUUUCUCACAUACUUAAUUUAACAGGUUACGACAGAUAUUUAUUUUGUUGUAGUUUUUUACCCCACUACAGACUUAUUUUUUUAUGACACCACAGAUUUUCAUCAUUUGACAGAUUUAUUAAAAUUAGUGGCAGAUUUAUAUAUGUUUCUAGUGGCCUCAGACUUUUUAUUUUCAUAAAAAUAUCUGUCAUCAAGUGACAGAUUUGUUUUUGGAAAAAUAAUUACUAGAAUGACUUAGUAGUGAUAACAAAUUUUUUAAAUUUUAUGACAUUUUUUAUUUCUUAAACAAAAAAACUGUCGAGUGAUAGCAGAUAUGUCAUACAAAAAUAAAAAUUGCUAGAUUGACAUACAAUCGCAAAUGAAAUAUUUCUGUGAUGACAGAUUUUAUUUACAUUAUGAAAAAUUUAGGAUUAGUUCAAAAAAAAAACUGUCACGUUACGACAGAUUUAGUGAUGAAAAAAGAAAUUGUUGGAAUGACUUCAUAUAGUGAUGAUAUAUAUGUUUUAAGUAAUGACAGAUUUUAAUUUUCAAAUUUUUUAUACCUAUUUGAUGACAGACUUUUCAUGAUGGACUACAUAUUUUAAGAAUGACAGACUUUUUUAAACACGAUAGACUUUUUUGUUUUGAAUUUCCAUAACUGAAAAAUAAUAAAUGACGAGAUAAUCUAACUUACCAUAUUUUCCUAGGGUUUUGGGCUAUCCUAACCGUUUCAUCUCUAUCUUCCACGACAACCACAACACGUUUUUUGAUCUUCACCAACGAUGUCUCAAAACAAAGGGUUGGAGAUGGAUCAGGUGAUUCUCGUAUGUGGCAAAUGGAUUUUCAAGAAUAACAAAUGGUCGUUCAUCAUUGAUAGAAAUAGAGGAUGUCGAGUUCUGAAAGCUAAUAGGGAAACCAGUUACUCUCAAUGCUUUCGAAUGGUAAUGGAGGAUUACGGAAUCGAGAAUAGAGGCUGUGAUGUUGUGUUGAGUUACAAGAUUUCGAAGAUGUUGUCUCAGAAUUUACCGGAUGAUACACCACCCGUUAUUAUUACUAAUUCAAGACAGUUUCACUCUUUUUUGGGGCAAUUGAAGAGCGAUACAAUUCGACUUUAUGUUGAAGUGAAGAAGAAAGUUACGAUUGAAGCUAAUCAACCCAACACCGAUGGCGUCGUUGACAGUACCUUGCAGAGAAAACGAACAAGAAUCGAAAACGAGUUGGUUAAGGAAGUUACGGAUUUGAUUCAUGAAGCUGUUGUUGAUGAUGGCGAUGACGAUGAUGAAACGAGAUUUGAUUACUGUGACGACUCUGACGGAACAGAUUCUGAUGAUGAGAAUUAUAGCUUGUAUGGGAUUCCACCAGUUGUAGAAGAAAAACAAAUACUGCCGUUGAAGAAAAAGAGUCCAGGUAUCUUUAUUGAAGAACAAAAAGAUGAUGAUUAUUAUGCAAAGUUUCAAUUGCCUUAUGUGGAUUUGGCUGUUGGACAGUGUUACGAAUCGAAAGAACACUUGGAAACACGAUUGAAGAUACUAACCGUAUUACAGAAAUUCGAUUUCUACGUAGACAAAUCGACACCUUUUCUAUUGAUUGUCAAGUGCUGGAUAAAAUGGUGUACGUGGAGGGUACGAGCUACGACACAAAGAGACUACCCAAAGUUUCAUAUUAGUGGGUUUAUUUCUGAACACUCAUGUUCAGUAACAGAGCGUUCUGCACUUGCCCGUCAAGCAACUCAUGAUAUUCUUGGAGUAUUAUACAAAGAUUUUGUUGGUGGAAUUGGCCCCAGAGUAUUGCCAAUGCACGUUGCUGAAUCAUUGAACAAACGUUUUCAGAUCAAGGUACAAUACAAAUUUUAAUAUUUUUUUGCCUUUUAAAACAAAAAGUUUUUAAUGUUUACCAGAAACAGUAAUUUUUUCUUAAUAGAUGGAUUAUUGGAAGGCUUAUAGGACGCUCAGGUAUGCGCGAGAAUUGGUAAGAGGAAGUCCAGAGAGUGGUUAUGAGCAACUACCUACUUACUUGUACAUGUUAGGAAGGGCUAAUCCGGGGACAUUGACGAGA